CCCCGCGCUCGCCGCGGCGCGCCCGCCGGGGCCCCAUGGCGCCGCCCAGUCCCUCGCGCUCGGGCCCGACGAGGUCGCACUGUGCAUAGCAUCACUGUGCCUCUGUCUGAGCAGCGGCACGAAGGGGGCACUCCACGCCCGGAGCAGGAGCUGCAGGGCAACCGCCACCGGCGGCUAGAAGGAAAUAGUCAGAUCGUCAACCGUCGUAAAGGAGGAGAAGUAAACGGAGGCGGGGACACAAGGGAUGGAGCCGAAGAGGGGGCGGCCAUGAGGAGAGUUGUGAGAAGAUGGGAUGAGGGAAAUGAGAAGAGAAGGGACGGGCGAUGGCUGAUGGGGUGGAAGACGAAACUGCUUCAUGCGAUCGGGUGGUUUGGGAGCAGAGAGGGGAAAUCGUGGGUGGGCAUGAUGAUGGUGUGGGGAUCAGGGGAGUGACGGGCCGGGAGGAGAAGGGGCGGGGGUCACGGCUAAUAUUUUUUUUCUCUGAGAAAUCAUGCGAGGGAGCCACAAGGUCGUACGAGGGGAGGAAUACUGCGGGAGAGCCAACCUGGUUGAACCAUCACGACGACGGCAGAUCCUCCUUUAAUAAUAGAGAUCUGCCGUCGUGAUCGUUCGACCAACGAUCCCCUUUAAUAGUCUUGGCACCCACGUCACCCCCUCUCGAUUUUUUACAUCCCUCUGAAAACCAAGGCGGUCCAUCAAAAACCAAAGCGUCUGCGAUCCCCCUUUAAUAGAUUUUUUACAUCCCUCCAAAAACCAGCGACAAUUAAAAAAACCGACAAAACUGCCCAGUCAAACCCACGACUCACGAACCAACGUCGCCCAGCCGGAGCACGNNNNNNNNNNNNNNNNNNNNNNNNNNNNNNNNNNNNNNNNNNNNNNNNNNNNNNNNNNNNNNNNNNNNNNNNNNNNNNNNNNNNNNNNNNNNNNNNNNNNCCUCUCGUAGAUGGACAUCACCAUGAUAGGUCUUCGUGCGCGUAGGAAAAUUUUUGUUUCCCAUGCGACGUUCCCCAACACAUCAUUGCUCUUGACCAAUGCUACCCACUUGUGCCAUCCUUCCAGCAUAAGAUUGUUCCCGUGCACGCGGCACACGUGGAAUGGCCUAUUGGAGGAACAAUGCGAUGUGUGCCAUAGGCAACGCGAUCCAUAACUGUUCGUGGGCCACGCAUGGGGAGCGCACUUCACCUCCACUUCCUAUGACUCCUCGGGGACUGCAGUCGCGGCUAUAAAACUGCCACACUUGUAGGGAGGAGCUGCCACCACACUGCUUCUUCCUUUUGCCUUCCUGCCGUGCUGCUUUACUCUUCUUGUGUGAAUGUCACCUUCUUCCUCUUCGUACUAUGGCGGCCAGGAGGGAUGCCUCAAGCGUGGAGGCGCGCAGGGGGCCUUUGGAGCCGUGGCCGACUCCACCACGACGGUGUUGGGCUGCCAGCGACGAGUAAGUGCGCCAUUGCUAUUGCUUCUUCUUGCGUACCUUGUCUGGCCUAAUGAAUCUGAUCGUCAAGCUUUCCAGGGUGUCGUCACACCACAGGCGCCGCGUUGGCCUGCCAAGGGAAUCCUCUCACGCAUCGCCUCCUUGGGAGGCCUCCUCCUUUACAUUUGGCGUCACGAGGCUUGGAGGACCCGUAGCCCCCUCUGAGGCGACGACAAGGCCCUGCGGGUGCGUAGUCCAAUCCAUCAUGUCAGCCUCUCGGAGAGCCGGGCACGAGGCGGACCUGGCCCUCAGGAAUGCAGCCAUCAUCAAUCGGCCGGAGGAGAUGGCUCUCCGCGAGCAGGAGGCCUCCCGGACCGCCUACAAUCAGGAGGCAGAGCGAGAGCGCCUCAAGGCCCUGGAGAGGCGCGUUCUUGCGGAUGAGGCCGCCUUCGCGGCGGUGCAUGAGGAAUCCCUUGCCGAUGUGGAUGCGAGGGUGUGCCGAGAGCGGACAACCUCCCUAGAGGAGUGAUACGUCUCCAACGUAUCUAUAAUUUUGGAUAGUUUCAUGCUAUUAUCUUGUCAAACUUUGGAUGUUUGGCAUGCCUUUUAUAUAUUUUUUGGGACUAACUUAUUAACUCGGUGCCAAGUGCGAGUUCCUGUUUUUUCCAUGUUUUUGACCCCUUUCAGAGGAGAUUUUGAAACGAAGUCCAAACGGAAUAAAAUCCCCGAAAAGAUUUUUUUCCGUAACGGAAGAAGAUCAGGAGACUUGAGAGCCAAGGCAGGGGGGCCCUAGGGGCCCCACAAGCCCUCACCCCGCGGCCAGGGAGUGAGAUCAUCGAAAGUACUUUUCCGCCGCCGCAAGCUUGUGUCUCCGCAAGAUCCCAUCUGGGGCACGUUCCGGUGCCCUGUCGGAGGGGGGAUUCGGACACAAAGGGCUUCUUCAUCAACACCAUGACCUCUCCGAUGAUGCGUGAGUAGUUCACCAUAGACCUACGGGUACAUAGCUAGUAACUAGAUGGCUUCUUCUCUCUCUUGUAUCUUCAAUACAAAGUUCUCCAUGAUCUUCAUGGAGAUCUAUCCGAUCUAAUCUUCUUUUGCGGUGUAUUUGUCGAGAUCCGAUGAAUUGUGGAUUUAUGAUCAGAUUAUCUAUGAAUCUUAUUUGAGUUUCUUCUCAUCUCUUAUGCAUGAUUUCAUAUCCUUGUAAUUCUCUUCAAGUUGUGGGUUUUGUCUGGCCAACUAGAUCUAUGAUUCUUGCAAUGGGAGAAGUGCUUGGUUUUGGGUUCAUACGUGCGGUGACCUCUCCCAGUGACAGAAGGGGUAGCGAGGCACGUAUCGUGUUUUUGCCAUCAAGGGUAAAAAGAUGGGGUUUUCAUCAUUGGUUUGAGAUUAUCCCUCUACAUCAUGUCAUCUUGCUUAAGGCGUUACUCUGUUNNNNNNNNNNNNNNNNNNNNNNNNNNNNNNNNNNNNNNNNNNNNNNNNNNNNNNNNNNNNNNNNNNNNNNNNNNNNNNNNNNNNNNNNNNNNNNNNNNNNNNNNNNNNNNNNNNNNNNNNNNNNNNNNNNNNNNNNNNNNNNNNNNNNNNNNNNNNNNNNNNNNNNNNNNNNNNNNNNNNNNNNNNNNNNNNNNNNNNNNNNNNNNNNNNNNNNNNNNNNNNNNNNNNNNNNNNNNNNNNNNNNNNNNNNNNNNNNNCAAUACACUAGAUGCAUGUUGGAUAGCGGUUGAUGUGUGGAGAAAUAAUAGUAGAUGCAGAAAGUAUCGGUCUACUUAUCUCGGACGUGAUGCCUAUAUGUACGAUCAUUGCCUUAGAUAUCUUCAUGACUUUGCGCGAUUCUAUCAAUCACUACAAGAAAUAUGCUCAUAUGUGAUGUUUUUUAAAAUGUCAUUGAUGAAUUCGUCAUAAAUCUAUGACGAUUUCAUCCGAGAUCGUCGUAAACCGUUUGAGGGGAUCAAAUCUACAUAUAAAUUACGACGAUGUGAGUCAAAACGUCGUAACCGCAUAAGAUGAGAUCGUCAUAACUUUUACGACGAUUGUAAAAAUGUCGUAACAUGUUCUAACUAUGUUGACAUGUCACUCGUGGGUCCAUUCUAUCCCACCUGAUCCUAGUUUGUGAAGCAACCUACUAUUCUAUCAUUCCGAAAAUUCUCGAAAAAUUCUCAUAAAUACUUUGGACUAUAUAUUCCUAAAAUAUGUGAAAACCCUCCCUUCCAUAGUUCAAAAAUAAUUCAAAAAUAUUCAUUUUCCUAUUCUGUUCAGAAUAGCACUUUGUGAAGGAAGUGCUAUUUCUAUUUCUUUGAUUACCUUCAUAUUGUUUGGGCACUCUUUCCUAUCCAAAUCAUUGCCUCAUGAAAACUUUCGUAACGAUUUGCCUAGUAAAUCUUUCUCAGCAAAUUUCCAAAGUUUGUGUUCAGCUAACAGCUUUGUGAAGGAAGUACUAGAUAGGAAUAUCCUGAUGAGUUGAAUUUUUUCCACAUCAUCUAUGUGCCCAAAACGUAGCUCUCCAUAAAAUUUUAGCCACAUCUAACAAUUCAUGUGAGCUCAUCAUCCAAUCUUUGUUUUUGGUAAUAUUUUCAUUUUGUGAAGCAACUAUGUUUUAUAUUGCUUUAUAGUUGAUGAAAAAUUUACCACGGGAUGAUACUGACCAUAUAACCUCACUGCACCAAAUUUUAGCUCAUUUAAUUCAGCCAGUUUCUCUCAAUAUUUUUCCCAAUAUUCUGUUCAGUAGAGAGCAUUGUGAAGGAAGUACAAUUUUUGUUUAUUCAAAUUUUAUGAAUUUUUUAUAGUACCUUAAUGUGCCCAAAUUAUCAUCCUCCUCCAAAUUUAAGCUCAAUCCAAUCAUCUAUGUGAGCCCAGUUUUAAUUACCAUUUUCUGUCCAGAUUGGCACAUUGUGAAGGAAGUGUCACUUUGGCAUGUCCAAAUGGUAUAAUUUUUAUACAGUGCCUUCUUAUGCCAAAAUUAACAUCAUACACCAAAUUUCAGCUCAAUCCAUUCAUUCAUUUGAUCCUAGCUUCAACAUCUAUAUUUCUGCACAAUGUGUUACUUUGCAAAGCAAGUGCCACCUAGAUUCAUCCAUUUGAGAUAAAAAUUUGCCAAGAGAGUCUCCUUAGUAGAUGAUCAUCCUCAGCCAAAAUUUAGGCCCAUUGUCUAUGUGAAUUACCCGCACCGAUAAUCAAACACUUGGCUGCUAAUUCAUGUUUGUGCUUAGUUCAGUCUCCUCAUGACAUUAUUCUAUUGUAUUAUUCAUGCUAACACCUAUCGAGGGAUUGUCCAACACACCAGACAUGACUAUUCCACCUAGAACGCGUGGCAAUGCAACGGUUAGGCGGUGACCAUGCGACUGGCAUGCAAGUUCACGCGCUUUGGAGUUGGGGCCCUCGACCACCAUCCAAACCUCGACGUCAAGGCACCACACCAUGUAUUUCUGAUUAAAUAGAUACUUAUAUACCUAUAAAUGAUUUUUGGGAAAAAUAAAGAGCAAACUAUAAUGCAGCUGCAGUUCAUAUUUAACCCGCUUCCAGCUGAAUCGACAUAAAUUUUUCAUUUUCACGAGAGGUGGAUAAAAUCUUUUAACACCCAACCAUUUUGUCAAUUUUACAUUAAAUAUGGACUAGUAUUUAUAAAAAUGAUUUGAUCCAAUUUUGAAACAAAUAUAUGGUAGAUCCUUCACAAAAAAACUCAUUUUGGUCACUUGAAAAAUGGAAAAUGAAUUUUUCAUACAAGGAAAAUGAAAAGUUCCUUAAUCAACAUUGUUUGUAAUUCCAAUAUGCACCCUUGUGCAUAAUAUUAUAUCAUUUCAACAAACUAUGUCAUGAAUGUGGCCAUAAGAUUGAUCAUUUGGCUUGAAAGACAUGAAUCUUCACACAUGAUAACCCAUUUCUAAGAACACUUAUUUAAAAUAAUUGUUGUAUUACUAGUUUAUUAAUUUUCCUGGUAACUUUGUCACAUAUAAUGACACAAUGCAAUGGUUUUCCAUUUUUUGUAUUUGUUUUGAAUUUUUCAUGGUCAUUUCAAAACGCGGUCAAAACAGCGGGUAUGACCGUUCAUACCUAGUGGUUGAAUCUUAGAAAUGUUUUGAUGUUUCUAUGAUUAAAUAGAUACUUGUGUACCUAUAAAUUGUUUUUAGGAAAAACAUAGAUCAAACUAUAAUGUAGCUGCAGUUCAAAUUUGACCUGCUUUCAGCUGAUUCAACGAAAAUUUGUCUUUUUUACGGGAGGUCGAUAAAAGCCUUUAACACCCAACCAUUUGGUCAAUUGUACAUUAAAUAUGUCCUAGUAUGUUAUAAAAAUGAUUUGGUCCAAUUUUGCUACAAAUAUAUGGUAGGUCAUUCACAAAAAAACUCAUUUUGGGCACUUGAAAAAUGAAAAAUGAAUUUUUCAUACAAGGAAAAUGAAAACUUCUUUAAUCAACAUUGUUUGCCAUUCCAAUAUGCACCCUUGUGCACAAUAUUAUAUCAUUUCAACAAACUAUGUCUUGAAUGUGGCCAUAAGAUUGAUCAUUUGGCUUGAAAGCCAUGAAUCUUCACACAUGAUAGCCCAUUUCUAAGAACACUUAUUUAAAAUAAUUGUCGUAUUACUAGUUUAUUAUUUUUCCUGGUAACUUUGUCACAUAUAAUGACACAAUGCAAUGGUUUUCCAUUUUUUUGAAUUUGUUUUGAAUUUUUCAUGGUCAUUUCAAAACGCAGUCAAAACAGCGGGUAUGACCGUUCAUUGAAUAUGGCAUAGUAUUUUAGAAAAACUAGUAAGCAUGCACGUGAAAUUCACGUGCAUCAACAAGAUGAGACAUUGUCUCCCAAAAGUAUGCAUGUCUGGCUUGGCGACCUACUUAGUGCAUGUUGAUGCAUCUUUGUAUCCUGGUGAAGCAUCAAAAUUGUAUCGAGGGAAAUACGUGCAAGUGUUGUUGGCUGUUGAUCCUCCUCGUUCGAACCAUCUUUUUCCCCCUAUCCGAUAUUGAUUUACAGGAGUUUUAUUCAGGUUAUUGUGUUGUGAGUUUGAGUCCGGACUUGUGUUAGACAAGUAUGGUAUGAGUACAUCCUAAACAUGUCGUAAUAAGAUGUAUAUGCUUCAUAGCUAGCUGUUGCAUGACCUGAAUUUCAAAAUAUCUUUCUUGUACAUAGGUUUACAUGUCAAGUUUCAAGAAGAUGGUUAUGCUUCAUAUAUAAUUGUUGUUUGAUUUUUCAAAUAAUUUACAUCCAUCCAUAGUCGUGCCCACAACAUGAACCGAGGAGAUCGUGCCUUGUCGUGCCUUGGAGUUGCCUCCCUCCCUGCUGUGUGCCAUGUUUGACUCCAACAGCAGUCCGAGGAGAUCGUCGCUUGUGGCUUGGCCGGUCCUCAAGGCGUUCUCUCUUUUCGUGAUGAUGCCCUUGAGGAUGCUCUCGAUCUCGGCAGCAAUCUAUCUCAUCCUUCGGUUGGCUUUUGUAGGCCAGAACCUGGACAUAAAAGUAAUGCAUCAGCACAUAAACUCAAAUUUGCACCACCAUGGAUGAUGUACGUGCAAAAGGAGAGUAAUCACAGACAGAGCAGAGAAACUCGCAAAUAACCAGGGAUAUGUAUGUACGUACAGCAGCUCCAGUGGAAAAGGAACCAUGGCGGCGGUCUGCACGACGAUCCCCCAGCGCCCGUACUGCCGGCCGCUCCCGCUCAGCACCAUGAACAAAUUCAGGUCACGGGAGGAGGCGCCUUCACGGGCGGUGGUGAAACGGGAGGAGGCGUCACGACGGGCGGCGAUGCGGACACGGGCGCGACAACCGGAGGCGGCUUGACCGGCGCGACUGCCGGUGGCGGCUUAGCGGUCGCGACGGGGGUGGCGGUGGGCGCGGGCGUGGCCGGCGCGGAGGUGACUCGGCGGGCGCCGUNUCGGCGGGCGCCGUCGGCACUGCCACCGGCGGUGGCGUGGCCGGUGCCGCCUCCCCUCCUUCCCUGCUCGUAGAUCCGUUCAAGCAGCGAAAUUUUUGGGCACUUGAAAUUUUUUGAUUGGUGAAAUGUGCUAUGGCAUGGAUCGAUGACGUGUCAUCCAUCCAUCCGUAUGUGCAUCCAUCCGUCCAUCCAACCCACCGGCCCACCAAAUCCUAGGCUUCGCUCCACUACCACCACGACCUCCUUUGCUCUGUCUUCCUCCUCCCCCGAAUGGCCAAAUCCCAGAUCCACCCAACGAGCCGGCGGCGGCCACCUCUCCCCUACCCCCACCGACGACCUACCGGCCUACGAGCUCUACCCCACUGCCGGCACACGCAACCCUCUCCUCUCCCCAGCCGCCGAUCCCACGCACCGAGCCUUCUCGCCGCGGAGCCCCCCGCCGUCGCCCCCAUCCUCCUCCCUCCAUGGACGCCCCCAAGACCACCCCAGCCCCCGCCCCUGCCACUGCCGCUGGCCCGGGGCUCUACGCUGACAUCGGCAAGAAGGACAGAGGUCAGGACGCCUUCUCCUCUUCCCUGCAGCCGCGCCCUCGAAUACUUGCGACCUGACCUUACACCCCAACCCCCACCUGUCGGGAAAUACGAGGAGGAAGGAUGUCGGGGUUCGGCGACGGGUACGUUGGCACGGCGCAGGACGUGGUGAAAAUCCGGCGACUAGAGAAGCAGCACGAGGCAGAGCGCCAGAAGAUCGAGGAGCUCAAGAGCAAGAACGCCGACGGGCAGCCCGGCCUCCUCCAGUUCGGCUCCAGCACCUCCGAGGUAAAAUCGUCGUCGCCCCGUGCAUCGCGGGUUUGGCCCGCGACCAAAUCUUCAUCUGCUUACCGGUUGAUUCACUUACUAGCAUGCAUAUGGGGUUGAAUUUGGAUGUUGUUGGAGCGAUUCGCGUACUGGUUGAACCGGGCGUGCUUUGGCACGAGUAGAUAUUGCGGGAUUUGGAAGCCUUAGUUGUUACUCUUGUUGGUGGAGAAUUAUGUACUGGGGUUACCAUGACAUAGUUAGCUUUUCUCGGAUAACUGUAUUCAGAAGGUGCCAGUUCUUAGCCUUGAAGGACAUAUAUGUGGCUACUUGCAGAUUUCGUAACAAUGUUUGCUUGAUGGCUCACAGCUAAGUUUGAUAGAUCCUGAUGGGUGUGGUGCCUGUACGUUGUUUGAUUUUAGCAUUUGAAUGAUUCACAUAGGAAUACCCAGAACUAGCAGACUGGGAGUAUUGAUUCUUUUUUAAAAAAUUCUAUGUAUUUGUUUUAAUUGAAGUCACUGGGUGGAUUUAUUUUAUCCAAUCUUUGACAUCGCUUCUUCACAAGAUUAUAGAGGUUAUUGCAAGUAAAUGUUUACCGCACAACUGUAUUUUACAAGCUAACACAAAGAAUUGUGAUUUUUAGAUUCUUGAGACUGCAUUCAAGAAGGAAAUUGUUGGCCUAGUUACAAGGGAACAGUAUGUUGAGAACUUAAUAGACAGACACGUAUAUGUACAUCUGCCUUUGCUUUUUCUUUUCCUGGGCAAUGAAAAUUUUGGUUAUUUAAUCUUCACCAAUUGCCUGUGCAGUCUAUUUCUUUAUACUGGAAAUUCUGAGUCACUUUCACUGAAAACUGAACUAGUGUCUAUCCUUGGGAUGACAUUAACUAUUGCGUGAGUUGAGCAUGUUUACUUGGGCUGCUUAAUUUUAUUUUCUUUUCUAAGAAUAUUCACUGCAUUCGCUAAACCAAUCAUGUGAUGUACGUGUUUUUUUGCAGGAACUCGUCGACAGGAUCCUCGCCCUGCUCUCCGACGACCAAGGUCCGCCCCCCUAUUUUUCUCCCAACUCUUUUUGUGCCAGUGCAAUGCACCUCUAUCAACUUAGAAUGAUGCUACAUUUCUAUCCUUGCAAAGCAGCCAUAGUGUUCUUUUUCACCAAAGCACCUGCUCUACUUGCUAACCUGCUUUCGUAUGUACGUGCCUGCCUCAGCCCAAUGGCACCUUGGCCGAGGGAGGAUGAGUGCGCCAAGCAAGGAGGCGGUGCUCGAGUGCACGACCAUGGAGCAGAUCCGCUGGGUGGUGGUCACUUCGAAUUUCUCCAGAACCGCCGCCACCUCCCUCGCCGUGGUCGUCGGCAGCGGCGUCACCCUCUUAUUUCGCCGCUCCUCCAUCGCGCUAGCCUACAAUGAGUCAGCAGACCCCAUCGACAGGGAAGUUAUGUCCUCACAUUUCUCCUUUUUCUUACUCUUCUUUCAUUGUAGCACAAAUGGAUGUAUUUCUGAUCUCAAAUGUGUGCUCUUGCAUACACUGAAUUUCUGAAUAUAGCAUGAACUAUGCGUACACCCCCAUAGGCAGCCAAGUUCUAUCCUCAGAUUUGCUUGCUUGUUGUCCUUACAAUUUAUGAAUCUCUGAACUUUUUCCAAGUUCAUGUUUUUUAUGCACUGAAUCUCUGAGCUUUUCCUAUGUACUGUGUUUCUGUUUCAUAGGUGCAGGUAUAUGUUUGACAUUUCUUUUCACUGUAAAUAAUAUGUUCGGCUAUCAACAUUAAUUUUCGAUGUACACCAUGUCAGUAUGCUAGUGUUCCUAGUAGAAUACACGCUCUUAAAAUUAGAGAAAAAAUAAAUAUAUGCGUUUAGUUAUAUAUGCUUAUCAUUUUGUAAGCUAGUGUAUGAGAAAGCAAUGACUUAUAUAUGCUUAUCUGAACAUUCCCAGCUCACCAAUCCAUUUGACUUAGUUAUGCACACAAUCAAGUGAACUGAAGAUGAGUUCCAUUUUGACAGCUCUUAUGUCUUUGGAGAGGAUGUGGGUUUUGGCAGUUCCAAAUUAUAAAACCAACACAUAACUCUUGAAACAAAAACAAUGGACCAGAUUUGAUUUAUCUUUUCUGAUUUUCAGGAUUAUUAGGUGAUGAAUUUCCCAGCCAGCUCCAUGAUCCGUCAUUCAUGUCUAAAUGUAAUAAUAAUCUUGCUAGUGUGGAUGAAUGACUACUAGUAGGUUUUUAUAUCCCACAGCUCGUGUAAUGCAUUUAGGGGUGGAGAGCUAGCCUGCUUCUUUCUUUGUUACCUUUUUCGCAAACAACAAUGGUAUGCAUACUGUAGAUUUCCAUCUAAUGCUAGUACACAGAGCAGUUUCGUCUCGCAAAUAUGACAUCACUAAGCUUAGUUGAACCUUACCUUUUUAUUUAGUGAUGAUUACAGCUCUCAGUCUCAUCGGAACGUUAUAAAUGAACUACUAAUUUUAGAAUAAAUUGGACCGGACUCCCUUGUCUGUGGAUCAAUUAGUCCGAUGUAGGAUUUCUUGGAGUCGAGUGAUCAUUAGCGUCUAGUAUAGCUUGCCAUGAGAUUCGAAAGAAAAAUACCAAGUCUUUUUCCCUUACUUGCUUACUGUAGUUCUUUUAGUGUGUAUAUCGUCAUCACUCAGUGCUAUUAAGAUGCAAAUUUAUUUCACUGACAUGUAUGUGUGCACCUGAGUAAGGAGUGAUGUUGACACGUUUAUUUAAUUGACAUGUCUUUCUGUCUCACCUGCCCCCGUCCCCUCCAUGGUGUGUGUGUGUGUGUGUGUUGCUUUUCUGGCCAGAGAUGAAUAUCCCAGCCUGCUGAGCAACAUUGUUGGCUUCCUCUUGUCCUGUAAAGUCUCGCGUGCAGGCAUGCUUGGUGCGAAUUUAAUUAACUCCUUAAAGGUAGAUGGAAUCUUCUUUGAAGAUGUGCAAUCUAAUAGUCCACCCAGCGCUGAAAUUGCUUCAGUAGCCGGAUCAGCCCACCUGUAGUCAGAUCCGUAUGUUAUUACUGACUUACUGUAUGCAGUCUGUUUCAUCUCGUUCUUCUGCUAUUCAAAUACUUGUACAUUCAUUCUAUUGCUGGCCAUUUCGUUGUGGAGCAUGAAUCCUUAUCUUUGCUUAUCCAAAGCAAAUCAGGCUGGCAUCAUCGGAGACUAUAAUCUGUGCUUGUGGUGUGAGCGAGAGUUACCUGCUCCUCCAUUGAUAAAUAUUGUAAUCGUGUUCUCUAUUUAUUUCAGGUUGCUGACAAGAUUCUGAACAAAAAAGAGCUGGAAUUCAACAAGUGGGAAGGUACCCUGUCUGAUGUGCUGUAGAAUGUCAGCAAAAAACUUAACCAAGUUGCUUCUGUAAGUCCAAAAGCUUUUUGUUGUUGUUGCAGUGCUUCAAAGGAUACAUGCCACACAAUGGACGAAUGAGCAGACCAUCGCAAAGACUGCUCUCAGCAACAUCCUUCCAUGUCUGGACGCGACUACAACCAACCGAACCAUAGAAGCAAGUGCUCCUUUUGAUUUGCUUCUAGCCUUAUGCUAGAAGCAAGUGAAACUUUGUUUGUAGUAGUGUUAGUUUAGUAGUUUAUCAGCCAUGCUGGUGUUGGUGCAAAAAGUGUGUAUUUUGAUUGUGCAAACUUGGGAGAUGUAUUAUGUGAUGUUAUAUGAUGGAUGAUUUUAAUUCAACUUGGAAUUUUCUUGAUUUAAAUAUGAAAUAGUGUUGGAUUUAAUAUUGGAAUAAUAAUUUGGUUGAAAAGACCCAACAAAUAGAAAUGAAACCAAGUUUUGAAACAAAAAGUUGCUGAAUUUAAAAAUGAAAAAAGGCCAAAACUGAAACUGGAUCAAAUGUAUUUGGGCAUGAAAAGGCCAAGGCCCAAAUUAGAAUGAUAAAAAAAAUCGAUUUUUUUUUACUAAAAUGGCUGUAAAUAGGCCAAGGCCCAAAAAGAAGCCCAAUAAGAAAAGGCCAAAAAAAUAAAACCAGCCCAUGUGAUCAAUUGAAAUGGGUUGGGCUGAUUUCAACCCUGACAUUUUGAUUUCGUCGUAAUUUUGCCACGUAGGACUGCCACGUAGGACUGAGUUUGAUUGCCAACGACGAUUUAGGAUCGUCGUAAAGGUUACGAAAACCCAGGAAUCGUCGUAAAAGUUACGACGAUUUUGAUCAAAACGUCGCUGUUGUUCAUUUCUGACGCUCUGUUUUCGACGCUUGGUAUUUCGUCGUGAUUUUGAAAACCGUGACGAUGUAGCGACGAAAAAAUGGUGUCGUGUAUUAGCAUAUUCCUUGUAGUGAAUUGCUCGACAGUAAUUUGUUCACCCACCAUAAUACUUGCUAUUUUGAGAGAAGCCUCUAGUGAACACUAUGGCCCCCAGGGUCUACUCCACACCAUAUUUUCAGCCUUACACUUUUUACUUCGUUGCACUUUCCAACUUCAGAUCUCACUUUGCAAACAAUCUUGAAGGGAUUGACAACCCCUUUACAGCGUUGGGUGCAAGCUCUUUUGUGUAUGUGCAGGUACUUUGGACUUGACGAGAUUCUCCUACUGGAUUGAUAUAUUGGUUCUCAAAUUGAGGGAAAUACUUACUGCUCCUGUGCUGCAUCACCCUUUCCUCUUUAAGGGAAAAACCAACACAAGCAAGUCUCCGUCAACGUGUCAAUUUAUGGCGUUGUUGUUUGAGAAGUAGCAGAAGGAUUUCUGGCGCCGUUGCCGAGGAGGAUCAAGUCAAGAACUCAUCCAAGUAGGUGUCGCAAACUCAUCUCUUGCAUUUACUUUGUUUGCCAGUUGCCUCUCGUUUUCCUAUCCCGCACUUCACCAAUUUUCCUUUUUCGUUUGUCUUUUCGCUCACCCUUUUUCCUCGCUUGCUCUUUGUUCGCUUGUGUGCUCGCUUGCUUGCUGAAGUCACCAUGAAUGAAAACACCAAACUUUGUGACUUCUCGAAUCCUAAUAAUAAUGAUUUUAUUAGUACUCUGAUUGCUCCCGCCACUAGUGCGGAGUCAUACGAAAUCAAUGCCGCUUUGCUGAAUCUUAUUAUGAAAGAGCAAUUCUCUGGCCUUCCUAGUGAAGAUGCCGCAUCCCAUCUCAAUACCUUCAUUGAGAUUUGCGAUAUGCAAAAGAAGAGAGAUGUGGAUAAUGACGUGAUUAAAUUGAAGCGUUUUCCUUUCUCCUUGCGAGAUCGCGCAAAAACUUGGUUUUCUUUUUUGCCCAAAAAUAGUAUUGAUUCUUGCGAUAAGUGCAAAGAUGCUUAUAUAUCCAAGUAUUUUCCGCCGGCUAAGAUUAUUUCUCUCCGUAAUGAUAUCAUGAAUUUCAAGCAACUUGAUCAUGAACAUGUUGCACAAUCUUGGGAGAGAAUGAAAUUAAUGAUUAGAUAUUGUCCCGCUCAUGGCUUGAGUCUUUGGAUGAUUAUACAAAUCUUUUACGCUGGCUUGAAUUUCGCUUCUAGAAAUAUCUUGGACUCCGCUUCAAGUGGAACGUUCAUGGAAAUCACGUUACGGGAGGCCACAAAACUCCUAGAAAAUAUCUUGACGAACUACUCUCAGUGGCACACUGAAAGGUCACCUACUAGUAAGAAGGUACACACUAUAGAAGAAAUUAACUCGUUGAGUGCUAAGAUGGAUGAGUUAAUGAAUUUGGUUGCUAGUAGAAGUGCUCCUUAAGAUCCUGUUGAUAUGCUCUUGUCUUCUUUGAUUGAGAGUAGCAACGCUAGCUUGGACAUUAAUUUUGUUGGUAGGAAUAACUUUGGCAACAACAAUGCUUUUAGAGGAAGCUAUGUUCCUAGGCCUUUUCCUAGUAACUCCUCUAAUAACUUUGGCAACUCCUACAACAAUACUCAUGGAAAUUACAAUAGAUUACCCUCUGAUUUAGAGAGUAAUAUCAAAGAGUUUGUCAACUCACAAAAAAAUUUCAAUGCGUCCAUAAAGGAAAAACUACUCAAAAUUGACGAUUUGGCUAAAAGCGUUGAUAGAAUGUCUAGUGAUGUUGAUGCUUUGAAAGUUAGAUGUGCUCCUCCCAAAAUCAACAUGGAUGAAACUGUGAAAGCUAUGCGUGUUUCCAUGAUUGAGAGCCAAGAAAGAACCGCCCAAAUUCGUGCUAGACAUGAAUGGCUUAAAAAGGUGUGUUCUCGUGAUAAGAAUCACGAAGAUCUUAAAAUGCUUGGUGUGACUCCCGUUGAAUCUUUGUUUUCUUGUGUCAAAUCUAAUGAUUAUGGGGCUGGAUAUGAAUCCACUUUGGGUGAAAAGCUCCCCAAUGAUUCGGAGUCCAUCUAUCUUGAUGCUAAAAGCAUUGAAAGUGGAGUAGAAGAUGUUAAAACUUUGAGUAGUAACGAAAUUACUAUCGUGGAUUUCAAGGAAUUCAAUUAUGAUAGUUGCUCCUUGAUUGAAUGCAUUUCUUUGAUGCAAUCCAUGUUAAACUCUCCACACGCUUAUAGCCAAUACAAGGCCUUUACCGAUCAUAUCGUCGAAGCUAUGAUAAAAUCUCUUGAAGAGAAACUUGAAUUGAAAGUCUCUAUCCCUAAAAAGCUUCAUGAUAAGUGGGAACCUACCAUCAAAAUCAAAAUCAAAAACUAUGAAUGCGAUGCUUUGUGUGAUUUGGGUGCUAGUGUUUCUGCGAUUCCAAAGUCUUUAUGUGAUGUUCUGGGUUUUAAUGAGAUUGAAGAGUGUUCUCUUAAUUUGCAUCUUGCUGAUUCUACUGUCAAGAAACCCAUGGGAAGGAUCAAUGAUGUUCUUAUUAUUGCAAAUAGGAACUAUGUACCCAUGGAUUUCAUUGUUCUUGACAUUGAUUGCAAUCCUACAUGCCCUAUUAUUCUUGGUAGACCUUUCCUAAGGACUAUCGGUGCUAUAAUUGAUAUGAAGGAAGGGAAUAUUAGAUUUCAAUUUUCUUUAAGGAAGGGCAUGGAACACUUUCCUAGAAAGAAAAUAAGAUUGCCUUGUGAAUCCAUGAUGAGGGCCACUUGCGGUUUGAGCACCAAAGACGACGAUACGUGAUUCUAUCGCUUUCAUGCCUAGCUAAGGGCGUUAAACGAUAGCGCUUGUUGGGAGGCAACCCAAUGAAUUUAUCUUUUUAUUUCUGUUUUGUUGCGUCCACACCAUCACAAUUCUGUUGUGAUUGUGUUUUUUGUGUUUUUUUUGUGUUUGAGCCAAGAAAAACCUUUAUGACUAGUCUUGGUAAUGGUUGUUUGAUCCUGCUGGAAGAAGACAGAAACUUUUUGCUCAUGAGAUGAUUUUUCAUGAGAUGGUUGAGUUGGUUGCUUGUUUUGAUGAAAAUGUGGUUAGUAUCGGGGGGGGGGNNNNNNNNNNNNNNNNNNNNNNNNNNNNNNNNNNNNNNNNNNNNNNNNNNNNNNNNNNNNNNNNNNNNNNNNNNNNNNNNNNNNNNNNNNNNNNNNNNNNNNNNNNNNNNNNNNNNNNNNNNNNNNNNNNNNNNNNNNNNNNNNNNNNNNNNNNNNNNNNNNNNNNNNNNNNNNNNNNNNNNNNNNNNNNNNNNNNNNNNNNNNNNNNNNNNNNNNNNNNNNNNNNNNNNNNNNNNNNNNNNNNNNNNNNNNNNNNNNNNNNNNNNNNNNNNNNNNNNNNNNNNNNNNNNNNNNNNNNNNNNNNAAAAGUGAGAAUACAGUAUCCCAACACCAGUAUAGAUAGAAUUCAAGUUUGCUACAGUACCAAAAGAAGUGGUAGUUUGUUUUCUUGUGCUAAUGUUAUCACGAGUUUCUGUUUAAGUUUUGUGUUGUGAAGUUUUCAAGUUUUGGGUGAUGUUCUCAUGGACAAAGAGAUAAGGAGUGGAAAGAACUCAAGCUUGGGGAUGCCCAAGGCAUCCCAAUCCAAAUUCAAGGACACCAAAAAUCCUAAGCUUGGGGAUACCCCGGGAAGGCAUCCCCUCUUUUGUCUUCAAUCCAUCGGUAACAUUACUUGGAGCUAUAUUUUUAUUCACCACAUGAUAUGUGUUUUGCUUCGAGCGUCUUGUAUCUUAGGAGUAUUUUCUUUUUGUUGUGACACAAUCAUCCUUGCUGCACACCUUUUUUAGAGAGAGAUUCAUGCACUCAUCGUGAUUUUUGCUAGAAUGCUCAUAGUGCUUAACUUAUAUCUUUUGAGCUAGAUACUUUUGCUCUAUGUGCUGCACUUAUAUCUUUUAGAGCAUGGCGGUGUGUGACUUGGUAGUUGGCUUAUGCUAUGAAACUAGUUCCAAAGGUGAUAGGUACCCAAAGAGGAUACAAAAACCUCCAUCUUCAUGUGCAUUGAGUAGAAAGAGAAGUCUUGAUUCCUCUCAAUUAGUUUUGAGACGUGGAUUCGGUAAUAUUAAGAGUUAUGUUAGUAUGGUGUUGUGAAUUUGGAAAUACUUGUGUUGAAAUUAGUGAUUCCCGUAGCAUGCACGUAUGGUGAACCGCUAGGUUAGGAAGUCGGAGCAUAAUUGAUGUAUUGAUUGUCUUCAUUUGUGUUGAGGUCGGGAUCGCGUGAUGGUUAACACCUACCAACCCUUCCCCUAGGAGUAUGCGUUUAGCACUUUGUUUUGAUUACUAAUAAAAACUUUCGCAACAAGUAUGUGAGUUCUUCAUGACUAAUGUGAGUCCAUGGUAUAGAUGCACUUUCACCUUCCACCAUUGCUAGCCUCUCUAGUGCCGCGCAAUUCUCGUCGGUGCACAAACCCACCAUAUGCCUUCCUCAAAACAGCCACCAUACCUACCUACUAUGACAUUUUCAUAGUCAUUCUGAGAUAUAUUGCCAUGCAACUCCCACCGUUCCAUCUCAUGACUUGUGCCGUCACUCUGAUAUUGCCAUUGCAUGAUCGUAAGAUAGCUAGCGAGAUGUUUCAACGUCAUACGCCAUGCUAGAUCGUUGCACAUCCCGGUACAGUGCCGGAGGCAUUUCUUAUAGAGUCAUCAUCAUUUUGAGUUGUGAGUAAAUAAAAGUGUGAUGAUCAUCAUUAUUAGAGAAUUGUCCCAUGUUAGGAAAUAAAAAAAAGGCCAAAGUGCCCAAAUAAAAAAAGAGAAAAGAAAAUAAAAAAAGAGAGGCCUAAGAGCCCAAAUAAAAAAAGAGAAAAAGAGAGAAGAGACAAUGCUACUAUCUUUUUCCACACUUGUGCUUCAUAAUAGCACCUUGUUCUUCAUGAUUGAGAGCUUCUUGCUUUGUCACUACCAUAUGCUAGUGGGAAUCUUCAUUAUAUAACUUGGCUGGUAUAUUCCAAUGAUGGGCUUCCUCAAAAUUAACCUAGGUCUUCGUGAGCAAGCAAGUUGGAUGCACACCCACUAGUUUUCCUUUUGAGCUUUCACAUACGUAUAGCUCUAGUGCAUCUCUUGUAUGGCAAUCCCUACUCAUUCACAUUGAUAUCUAUUAAUGGGCAUCUCCAUAGCCUUUUGAUACGCCGAGUCAAUGUGACCAUCUCCUCCUUUUUGUCUCACAACCACCACCACACUCUAUUCCACCUAUAGUGCUAUAUCCAUGGCUCACGCUCGUGUAUUGCGUGAUAGUUAUAAAAAUUUUGAGAAAGUAAGAGUGCGAAAACAAUUACUUGGUCAAUACCGGGGUUGUGCAUGAUUUACAUUAGUUGUGUGAGGAUGAUGGAGCAUAGCCAUACUAUAUGAUUUUGUAGGGAUAACUUUCCUUGGCCUUGUUAUUUUGAAAGUUCAUGAUUACUUUGCUAGUUUGCUUGAAGUAUUAUUGUUUUCAUGUCAAUAGCAAACUAGUGUUUUGAAUCUUACGGAUCUGAACAUUCAUGUCACGUGAAAGAAGUUGCAAAGGACAACUAUGCUAGGUAGCAUUCCACAUCAAAAAUUCAUUCUUUAUCACUUCCCAACUCGAGGACGAGCAGGAGUUAAGCUUGGGGGUGCUUGAUACGUCUCCAACGUAUCUAUAAUUUUUUAUGGUUCCAUGCUAUUAUCUUGUCAAACUUUGGAUGUUUUGCAUGCCUUUUAUAUAUUUUUUGGGACUAACUUAUUAACUCAGUGCCAAGUGCCAGUUCUUGUUUUUUCCAUAUUUUGACCCCUUUUAGAGGAGAUUUUGAAACGGACUCCAAACGGAAUAAAAUACCCAAAAAGAUUUUUUCCGUAACGGAAGAAGAUCAGGAGACUUGAGAGCCAAGGAAGGCGGCCCCAGGGGCCCCACAAGCCCUCACCCCGUGGCCAGGGGGAGGCCGCGGCCCACAGGCUUGUUGGCCCCCUGGACCUCCUUUGCCCUAGGGUUUGCGCCUAUAUAUCCCCAAAAAUUCCACAAAAAUUAAGGAGAUCAUCGAAAGUAAUUUUCCGCCGCCGCAAGCUUCUGUAUCCGCAAGAUCCCAUCUGGGGCACGUUCUAGUGCCCUGCCGGAGGGGGAUUCGAACACGGAGGGCUUCUUCAUCAACACCAUGACCUCUCCGAUGAUGCGUGAGUAGUUCACCAUAGACCUACGAGUCCAUAUCUAGUAACUAGAUGGCUUCUUCUCUCUCUUGGAUCUUCAAUACAAAGUUCUCCAUGAUCUUCAUGGAGAUCUAUCCGAUGUAAUCUUCUUUUGCGUGUGUUUGUUGAGAUCCGAUGAAUUGUGGAUUUAUGAUCAGAUUAUCUAUGAAUCUUAUUUGAGUUUCUUUUGAUCUCUCUUAUGCAUGAUUUCAUAUCCUUGUAAUUCUCUUUGAGUUGCGGGUUUUGUCUAGCCAACUAGAUCUAUGAUUCUUGCAAUGGGAGAAGUGAUUGGUUUUGGGUUCAUAUCGUGCGGUGACCUCACCCAGUGACAGAAGGGGUAGCGAGGCACGUAUCGUGUUGUUGCCAUCAAGGGUAAAAAGAUGGGGUUUUCAUCAUUGGUUUGAGAUUAUCCCUCUACAUCAUGUCAUCUUGCUUAAGGCGUUACUCUGUUCGUCAUGAACUCAAUACACUAGAUGCAUGAUGGAUAGCGGUCGAUGUGUGGAGUAAUAGUAGUAGAUGCAGAAAGUAUCGGUCUACUUGUCUCGGACGUGAUGCCUAUAUGUAUGAUCAUUGCCUUAGAUAUCGUCAUGCCUUUGCGCGGUACUAUCAAUUGCUCGACAGUAAUUUGUUCACCCACCGUAAUACUUGCUAUUUUGAGAGAAGCCUCUAGUGAACACUAUGGCCCCCAGGGUCUACUCCACACCAUAUUUUCAGCCUUACACUUUUUACUUCGUUGCACUUUCCGCCUUCAUAUCUCACUUUGCAAACAAUCUUAAAGGGAUUGACAACCCCUUUACAGCGUUGGGUGCAAGCUCUUUUGUGUUUGCGCAGGUACUCUGGACUUGACGAGAUUCUCCUACUGGAUUAAUACCUUGGUUCUCAAACUGAGGGAAGUACUUACUGCUCCUAUGCUGCAUCACCCUUUCCUAUUCAAGGGAAAAACCAACGCAAGCAAGUCUCCGUCAACGUGUCAAUUUCUGGCGUUGUUGUUUGAGAAGUAACAAGGAGUAUCACGACGAGCUGGCCCGGCAGGGAAACUACCUCCAGCUUAGGUGCGAGGCGCGCCAGGAGGAGGUAGGCAUGCUCCAGGCCCAGCUGCAGGACACCUAAGUCGCUCUCUAGGUGGCCCUCAGGGCAAGGAGGGCAAUAAGGAGGAUUUGCCGCUGCUUCAGGCCUAGGUCAGGGAAGCUACCGAUGUCGUGCAUGUGGCCAAGGAUGAUGUUGCGCAUGCGCGGAUGCUGGAGGUGCAACGCACCAAGCAGUUCUUGGGGCUUGCCUGUCGAACAAACGGCAUGAUUUGCCACUUCGUUGAGGACGCCUCGUGUUUCCACAGGCGCAUGGCGACACGAGAUACCUUGACUUUUUCCUCAAGGUGGCGGAGGCGCUGGAAUCGGGCGUCUCCAAGGUGGAUGAAGACAUCGAGUCUAGCGCGCACAGCCUCGUGGACAGCGUGCUCACACACGUCUUCUCCAACGUACGCCACCAAGACCCUACUUCGACCUCCCACGCGCGAUGGAGCCCGUGCCCGCGGAUCUCCGGAGCCCUCUCGGGGAUGAGGUGCGCAAGCACCUGAAGUUCUUGGUCGGGCGGUUCGUCCAGGCUGCACCCUCUGAGCAGAGGGGCAGCCUCACCGCCGGGGCCUCCGGGGGCCACGACGAGGACAAUGCCUCCUUUGCUUAGGAUUUUUAUCCCUUUCCUGUUGCGUCAAGAGUCACUUGGCCCUUGGAGGGCAUUAGACAUUAUGUAAUAUACCUUUCCUUUAAGUAGUGGUUGCUUGUUAUGCUUGGGGUGCCUUUGUUCCUUUUGCGAGGUCCUCCGUUGCCCUUCACAUGUUUACUAUGCUCUCGCCGGCAGGGUCCCAUAACAAGCGGCUCCCAAGGCCCUCACCCCUGACGCGCGACGGGGGCCUCGGGGCGACAACCCCCCAGCACUUCUUGGUCCUCGUCCUUACCUGGCUAGGCUGUCAAUUCACGUUCUCUUGGCCAUCCGACCCCGCGAAGACCUCGGGGCAGCUUCUCGAUGAGGCCCCGCGAGGGCGCCUCGAAGGCCUUGAUAACAGUUGCUUGUGCGAUCCUUGCGAGGCUGGUGCCCUCGCGAGGGCCUUGUCUGCGCAGCCUAGAGAUGGACCGAUCCCAGGUCGUGGCGCGCGCCAUGGGGUCACGAGCAGGCAUCCCUGGGCUCCUCCAGGCCCACAGGCCCAGCAGUGCAAUCCGUGGAAGCGCAUCACGUGCACUUCAUUUGGUGAUGGGAAUUGAGACGGCGCAGGCCCUCCCUGUGUCAGAGUCAAGCAUGACAUGUGGCGCAGGAUGGGACGUGGGACACUCCCGCUUCCCCAUGACCCCUCAGCAACCGCUCGGUGCUGACAUAUAGCAUGCGGGCAGCGCGGGACCGUCAUUGCCUCAAUUAACCUUCCACCUGAUGAAUGCAGGCAAGGAGAUGCAGACUGAACGUCUGCUUGGAGGCGCCAUAUAAGGGUAAAGGGAACGGUCUCCUACCCCAACUUCCUCAUCCUAACUCUUCGUUCUUGGUCAUUGUCGCCGUUGUUAUGGCACCAGUGAAGAUAUCCUCCGCCGCCGAGGAUGGGACAACAACGAAGGGGGGAGUGGGUGCGCGGCGACCGGCAAGGGGAAGAGGCUGCCCCCGCUCGCCCGUCACCGCACUCGAGGCACCUCUCGGGGGAUGCAAGCGCUACCCGUCGGCGGCCUGUGCCAGCCCGAGCAGCCAUGGGAGGGGUUCCAUUUGUGGGCGCGUCGGACGAGGCAGCCGCGGACGGGCCCGGCGGGGCAGCACAGACACCCGGCCUCCGAGAUCGCGAAGUCACUCCGCCGACGUGGCCCGCAAGUUCCUUGUAUGAAUGGAAGGUAAGCCUCGCACAUGGCUCCAGCUGCCGGACUCUUUCAUGGUGGAUAUCAAGGAGCUUCCACCCCUGGGCCUGUGGCUGCAAUCAGACAGUUGCUGCAAUGGGCCUACCUGGGUGGCAACGGAUUUCAACUCCCUCCGCUUCAUGUUCUUGGGGAGUGAGUGCAAGUCGUUCACCCUUUCCCAAGGCUUGUAGGAAGGGCACGUCCUCCACUCCAAGUUUGACGGGGCCGCCAUGCUCUUCUUGAAGACCUUCGGAAGUGCCGGUGGUCGCAUGUACUCCUGCAUGGAAAGUGACAAUAGAGGCAGCAGCAACCCUUGUGGCACCGACGAUAGUGGCAGCUUCUCCUCAGGGGGGUGGGGGCAACAACGACUAUGAUGGCUCCUUGGGCGCCCACGUCAAGGAGGAGGAGGAUUCCGAAUAAGCGUGUGUGACGAGGCAUUGAGGCCCCCGGUGGUGGUGCUUCGAGAGUGUGAUCUUCUUUCUUUGCGUCGCCUUCUUUUUCGUGUAAUGCAACAUGCUGGCCCUGUGGGGGCAUGUAAAAGGGGUUAUGUCCUUCACGCUUCAAAUUGAUUUGAACACUAUUUUGGGUCAAAAAUGAACUUGUCCUUAGUACUCUUUGUUGUGCUUGAACCCUCUCCAAGGUCAUCCAAACGCCUUGCGACGCCAAGGCCCAGUCCCCAAGCAUAAUUAUGAGGUCUCCUGAGGCACGGUGCUCAGGGUCUUGCCUUCUUCACGCGAGCGGCCCACGCAAGGGGUUGCUGCUUGUGGGGCCCACCUUGCGAGUCCCCUUGAGGGAAGUCCCCCGGAGGAGGCGUCUUGUCCCGAUGGUGCGUUCUUGUCCACUUGCAUCUGGGCGUUACACAAGAAGUAUAGGCCCCUACGGCCUUGAUGAGGUGACACAUGCGUGGAGUGUGCCCGUGAGCCAGAACCCAGUUCUCUAGUCUCCCAGCACCGCCAGGGCAGACCCAGGCCAAGGCACUGUGCCCAGCUACCAUGAGCGUGAGGCCCAAGGUAAACCAGCGGGCGCGUGCCGGGGGGAUACCUUCAUCGUCUUCUCCCCAGCACGAUGCAUGGGGCUUCCGUUAGGUGCGGGCAUGGUAAGAAGAGAGAAAACCAAGGAAACUUCGCGAAAACCAGAAGACCAAGACCUUCACUAAAACCCGAGGCUAACUUGUUCGCGAGCCCAAAAAGGGGAGGUGCGGCUGGCGUAUACAGCAUGGGUCAGCUUGGUGAGCUCGUUCACAAGUCGAAGAAAGAAAGGAAUAAAAGUGGUUUCCAUAUCUUGCACGGGUCAACCUGGAAAGAAACGUGUCUGCCAUAUCUAGCACGGGUCAACCUAAAAGAAGUGUUAGUUGUGGCCCACAGGACAUCUUCUUGAAUCGUUCCCCAGGCGCGAUGCAAGGGGAUUCCACGAGGGCAUGGGCAUAGUCGCGGUUCGACAGUCAUUCCGCGAGUGUGGAGCAUAGGGACUUCCACUUGGGUGUGGGAGGAGCCCUCCAUCGCGGCCACGGCACGGCUCGUCAUGGGCUACCACUUAGGAGGCUCUGGGUGUAUACAGCCCACUCGUUCUUAUGUGAGAGUGUUAUGGGCAAUGAUGAUUGGAUGGACACCCCAGGCCCAAAGCUCGGGAGUGUCUACCCCAGUCUUCAAGCGCUUUUGUGCGUUUCCGUGUAGGAGUGCGCAUGUCUAAGAAACGCUCUUGUGGACCAAACAUGAGGGCCAUCGCGCACCGCGUGGCCAUAAGAGUGUGCCAUUAGGCGAGCCAUUAUGGGACGCAGCAAGGCUCCUGCCCCGUGAUAGCGCGAGCCAAGCCGCAUCCCCUCCAUCUACCCACGACGGCUCUUUGGGAGAGCGCGACACUAAGGACCUUAGCGAGAUGACUAACACAGGUGGCCAGCCCACGAGCCAGAGCUCAAUCACUUCAAUUUCUCGGUGCUGCAAGGACAAGUCCUAACACACACAGCGUGUCUAACCCCCACUUCGGAACCAUCACAGGGCAGUUUUGGGGGGCACCAGCCCCCAGCAAUGGCGAGCCACUACAGCUUAAGAUUCAAACAAAUGACACCACCUCAAUUGAAGGUUAUUCAGGUUCGUCACAUAUCCAAGAAACACCUGCUUGGGGCAAUGCAAAAUACAAGGAAUUGCUUGAUUCAAACGACCCAGAAAGGCAUCUAACGGCCAGGCUUCCGCGGGUGCGUGAGGCCGCUUGACAUGUGUAGGAUCGAAAGUAUAUCUAGAAGGGGGUGAUUAGACUACUUGACAAGAUAAAAACUUAGCCUUUUCCCAAUUUUUAAUGUGGGACUGUUUUAGAAAUUAUGGCUAGUCAAGUACACCCUACACAUGCACAUCUAAGAGUAUAUAGCAGCGGAAAGUAAAACAUGCAAGUGUAAAAUAAGCAAGGGUAGGGAGAUCAAACGCAUGAGAUUGACAUGGCAAUUUUUGGCAUGGUUCCGAUAGGUGGCGCUAUCAUACAUCCAUGUUAGUGGAUACUUCAAUCCACAGAGGAUAACGGUUGUGAGAAUCCACGGAGGGAUCCACGCACAAGGGGUCCACGAAGAAACGACCUUGUCUAUUCCACCACGGCUUCCGUCCACAUAGGACUAGCCUCACUCAGGGUAGAUCUUCACGAAGUAGGAAAUCUCCUUGCCCCUACAAACAUCUUGGUUCAACUCCACAACACGAAGUAGGAGGCUCCCAAGCGACACCUAACCAAUCUAGGAGGCACCACCCUCCAAAAGGUAAUAGAUGUGGUAGAACAAUGAACUCCUUGCUCUUAUGCUUCUAAAGAUAGUCUCCUCAACAGUCAAUCACUCUCACAAGGAUUUGGCAUGGGUAGGAGAUAUUGAUCUUGUGGAAAGCAACUCGGGUGAGGCUAUAAAUCAAGGUUCAAAUGGUUGGAAUGGAAUCUCUUGAUCUCAACACAUGAGUAGGUGGCUCUCUCUUAGAAAAAUGAAUCUGGCAAUGAAGUGUGUGUUCUGAAUGCUUCCUCUGUGGGUGACAGGUAGGUGGAGGGGUAUAUAUAGGGAAGACACAAAAUCCAACCGUUACACCAUAAUUGGCCAACUCGGUGACACCGAAAUUACAAACUAGAUGGUACCGACUUUCUCAAAAGGUAUCAAGUUUCAAUCUUGAUGGAACCAAUAUACACAACUCGGUGGCACCAAAAAGGUGACUAACGGUCAGAUGACACAAUUCGGUGACACCCAUACUCAAACUUGGAAAUUCCUAUUUUUUCAAUCGAGGUAAUAGAAGGUUGGUCACCUAAACUCGGUAGCAUCGAUGCAGAACCGGUUGUAACGAAAUGGUAUGUUUGGCUAGGGUUUCGUCUGGGAUGAAAAUCGGUAGGGUCGAAUAUGGAAACUUGGUGGCACCGAUUUUGGACAUUUGUCUUUGGACAGAAGUGUUAUGUGGGAGAAUGGGUGAGUAUUUUUGGUGGCUAUCUCUGAGCACUUGCGCAACCAAUUCAUUUAAUACCUCAUCCCCUUUUAAUAGUAUUGGCUUUCCUAUGGACUCAAAUGUGAUUUCUCACAAAGUGUAAAAUGAAGAGUCUUCUAGCUUGAAGCUUGAGCCAAUCUUAUUCCUUCCUUGGGUUAAGGGGCAUCUCCACAUAAACAUUUAGCCAAUGCAUCUUUUGAAAUUUUCUGAUAUAUACUUGGAUAAGAUCAUUAGUCCAAUGAUGCAUGUGUUGUGAUCAAUUAUCAAAACCACCUUAGGGAGCAAUUGUGCUUUCAAUAUCCCCCUUUUUGUUAAUUGCUGACAACAUAUAGAUCAAAGCUUAGAUAAAAGAUAUAAUCAAUGAUUAGCAUCAACGCUUUGAGAAGUAUGUGAAAAGCAAGAGAUCCCCCUAAAUUUGUGCAUUAUUUAUUAUUUGUGUUUGAAUGCAAAUGCACAAUCGAUUAGGAUCAUGGGUCACUCUUCCAUGUCACAUACAACUUGGUGGCGUGCAUACAUGAUAUGAGUGAAUAGUAAUGCACAUAGAACCAGAAGGAUAAGUGAAUGAUCAUGAUGUAGAGAGCUCAAAGAUAAUAACAUGGUAGCAUCAAACAAUCAAAGGGUAUGAUCAAACACACAUCUAAGCAGAUAAUGUCAUCCAAAAGACCAAAUAAAGUUUUGAAAACCAAACGAGAGCAAAUAAAGUCAAAAGCUCUCCCUCUCUCGAAGACGUAUGAUCUAUACACUUCUCCCCCUUUGGAAACAAGUACCAAAAAGUUCAUAGGUCUAAGCUAAGAAUAUCUCUGGGCAUGAUCUCCUCCGGUAGCAGAUGUUGGAGUAUACAAGCGAGCAUCAAGAAGGCUUCGAUUGAUGUCACUAGAGCAUGAGCUGGAGGUGUAGACACUGGAGGUGGUGGAGCAAGAGCUGAAGCUUGAGCUGAUGAAGAUGGUCUAUCUUCUAGUACUCGCGCAGUUGUUGACCUAGUUUGAGUCAAGAAACAUGUGGUAGUACGAAGAGGUGAAUCAUCAUCAUCAUCAUCUCAAUGUGGAAUCUGCACUGAGUCAACUUCAUGUUGAAGUUCUUUGACUGUAGUGGUCAACUUCGUAACCUUCACAUCCAGGUCAUGGAACUUUGUUUCCACGAUCCUCUCUAGGCUCUUCUUGUUCAACAUGAUUUCAGAAAUAUUCUUCUCCAUCCCUUUGAUGGUGUUGACCAAGAACGACAUAUGUUCCUAUCUUGUUUUGAGUUGUGGUGGUGGAGCUGGAGCAUUCUUAGCGAUCUCUGCAGCAGCUGCCUCUGCAGCCUCUCUAGGUGUAGUUGAAUCUGGACGAGUGUCAUCCAUCACAACUUCAUUAUCCUCGAACUCUAGUUGCAGUGGAAAAUGAGGACGAUCAAGCUGAUAUGCAUGCUUGCCAAUCUUGGCAUUGAUGAGCAUCUGAAUAUGUGGUGCAUAUCCGCAAGAUCUCUUUUGAUCAGCAUAUUGAUGGAAUGGCCUCUAAUCAUCUUGUCAUCACCUCAUUGGGGCAUCAAGGUAUGCCUCAAAAUAGAGUUGGUAGUGGUUAUUCCAGCUUGCAAGAAUAGACACACCCAAGCUUGUGAGAUGGCAGGAAGUCAUUUGGCACUGUUUUGUACAUAUUGGCCAUGGAGUUGUGAUUCUUCUUUGGUUCUGAAUACACAUCCAAGUCCUCUGCUCAUGACUUUGGAGCACCAAUGAUAUUAGCCCAUUCUUAAAUUGUGGCUUCAUAUCUAUGGCCAUCAGUUAUCUAGACAAUUGUGCCAUCUGAAUAGAAACGAAUUGUUGAAUAGAAUUGCAUAAUCAUUUCGUCAUUCGAUGGAGUCAUCUGUCUGCCAACAAACUCUUCAAUGUCAACAAGAUUGAAAUUCUCUCUCACGUGAGGAAAGAAAUCUUCAUUGGCAAUGUUAUAUUUCCAGUCAACAUAUGUCAUAUCACUAACUGCUGGACAUUUGUCAUACAAAACUAUCUCAUAAAAGUCUUGUUGUUCUUUUGUAUGAAAUAUGGGAUCAAGUGCAUAUCUUCUCCUUGCAGCAUAUGGAUCAAUAGCUCUCCACUUUCUUAUCCCGACAUCUCUUCUCUUCUCCAUGUCUUCAGCUAUUGGAUGACCUCAAUGUGAAUUGGCAAGUGAGGCCUUAACUUCAUGAGAAUUGGUGCAUUCUCAACAUCUUCCUCUAUAGCAAAGGCAUUGGAGGCAGUGCAUUUCUCUUUAGCAGUUGCAGGAACUUCCUUUGUACUCCUCUUGGAAGCUACAUGCGUCUUUGGAGCUGAAGGAUUUGGAGCAGAAGGCUUCAUAGCAUCUGCCAUAAGCUUCUUUUUCUUCUUUGCGGGAGGGGCCUUAGUUGGUACUUCCUCUUCCUCAGUAGCAGCAGUUUCUACUGGGUCUUCAUACAUGGAAGUCUGUCUACCUAUAACAUGAAUAACUAUCUUUCUGGCUCUCUUCACACCUUUCUUCUUAGGAGGAUUCUCAAGGGUAAGUGUCAUCCCUUGCCUUGCAAAUGCUGGAGCUCUCAUGUCAGAAGGUUUGGAGUACUCCUUCGUGAAAUUUUUCUUGAUAGGAGCCUUGUCUUUCUGCUUUUGAGGAACAGGAGCUUCAGGAACAAAAUAUGAAUCUUCUUCAUCUGAAUUUAGUUUCCUUGUGGUCCUUGUAGCAGCCUUGGGCAAGCUAUUGGAACUGGGGGUACCUGGAUCAGAAUGUGACCUCUUAGGACUGCUGCAUGAAUCCAUAUCAACAAUGUCCUCGGUGAAGUUGUUUUGGCUAUCAUCAGAACCUGACAUCUUCACAAACCAAGCAAACUAGCACACUAGCAAAUCAGCAGACAAGCAACCCUCUGAAAUUGAAGUAGAAGAGUGGAAAGGUUGAGCAUCACAAAACACAUAAGAUUUUUCAAAAAAUUGAACAGAGAAAUCCUUAGUUUUAGCCUUUUGCAGAACAAAUUUUGGUAGCACCGAGUCUAAAUUUUUGGAUUCACCGAGACACAUGAACUUCUUCACAGAGACUUGGCAAUCACUUCGGUGGAACCGAAGGUGAUCACUCAGUAUCACUGAGUCCAUUCUCACGAAACCUGGACUUAAAAUCAGUGGAACCGAGUUAUGCGAUUCGGUGUCAGAAGAUGUCUUCAACGGAUGGCUAACCCUAAAAAUAAUUCGUUCGCUGAUCUACGAGAACUUAUGGUGGAGAAGAGGGUUUGCAGAUGGUGGUUUAUAGAUAAAAUUUUCUAAUGCGCAUGAAUCAGAACAAUGGAGCGCAAGAGAAGAUCGGAAUUGUACCCAAACUUGGCGGCGGUCCGACUACGGCAGCGAUGGCGGUGAAGAUUCCGUCGGCGGUGGCAAAUCCCAACGGUGGAGGUGCUCGGGGAUGCAAAGGCGCUGACCAAGGGCCCUUGCACGGCAGAUUAGGGUUUGGGUCAAAGCGUUUGAAGACGUAAUUUCAGAACGCUCGUCCACCAGGCUUUAUACCCGUCAUUCUCGGUGUCAUCGAGACUAAGAUUUCGGUGCCACCGAGUUCCUCUACUUUUAGUUGACAGGGAAACUCGGUUAAGCCCAGAUGGUGGUUUCGGUGGUACCGAGAUUGAAAACCUGGAUCAACUUUGGAAUUCGGUAGAACCGAGAUUGUGGGGUUGGUUACACUGAGAUUCACAAAGAGGUUUUGGAGUGCACCCUUUGUCGAUACGGAACUCCGAGUGCUCCAUCACAUAGAGGGAUGGAGAAGUGCUUGUUCAAGUUUUGUGAUAAAGCAUGAAUAGAACUUGAGACAAGAAAGCAUAGAUAGCUAGAUAAGGGUCCUAGGCAUUCUUGUCUAUGCAACUGGAAAAAGAUAAAUCAAAUGCCAAAUAGCAACAAUUGGAUAUCCCCGAAUGAGAAAGGAUAUGCAGACCAACAUGCUCACACAAUAAGAUGUCAAAUAUAAUCAUGAUGAACGUGCAUAAACAUCCUAGCAUCUAUCAAGCACUUCGGUGAUGACGAAGUCAUCUAUAUAUGAGUAUAUUGACUUAGGAGUCAAGUAAGAGUACUUGAUCAUAGGUCAUACUUGUCGUUUAAGCAAAAGUGGGGUUACCACUUUUACAUAAAGCAUUAACGUGUUCAUAUAUUUAGGAGAUACUUAUACUCAAGAUUUAGAGUAAAGCCCCCCCCCCCUUGAUAUGACAUCCCCCCUAAGAGGGACAAACUAACCUUGGGUUUUGUCAUAAAAGACUUCAAGUAGGUGAAGUAGUGGUGGAUGCUCAAUGUUGAUGAAGAUCAUCUUGAGUUGGGAGAAAUCCUUUUUGUUUCUUACUCUUCUCACCUACAUGGGUUAGUCCCAAAGGAAAAAUGAACAAACACAAAGAUAUAUAUGGACAUGGAGUGAAACACAUGUGGGAUGAUGUCCAAAGAUACAUCAAUUACCUUGUCCCUUGCUUACCUUUGAGGGAAUGUGUGACUCCUUGAACUAACGCAUAUGUUUGAGGUUGAUUGCAUAUAGUUCUUGCCAAAAUGAAUGGGAGUGAAUUUCAUUGGCGGAGUCACCACUCAAGAACUUCCUAAUUCUUCCUCUUGGGGACUCACAUCACUUUGAUCGGAAUCCUUGGAGUUGUGGUAGCACUAGAUGAGCAGUACUAGAAGUGUCCUUGGGAACCCACUCAACCUCGGAUUGGGGCUCUUCUUCAAAUGAGUCAAUGUCCUCUUGAAGCUUUCCCUUGCCCUUGUGGUCUUGUGGUAGAAUGCCAUCUUGUGAGAUUGCUCCCUUGGGAGGAGUAGGAUACUUCUCCUUUUGAGGAACAAACUUGGGAAUGGGGUAUGGACCUUCCCAAACAUCUCCGUUGACAUUGAAGUAGCCAACACCUUGCUUCUUCCGAUGUCCUUCUUGCUUGCGCACAAUUUCCUCAAAUUGCUUACUUCUGGCAAGACUCUUGAAGACACCUCUCUCUAUAAUCCCUUUCAAUAAAUCAUUUUCUUGCUCAAGUGUAACCUGGCUAAGAGAAUCAUUAGUGGAAUCAAGAGAGCUACUAGCAAGAACAUCAUUUGAUUUAGAUUUAGCAUUGAUGUUACUACAAAAAGAAACUUUCUUGCCAUUGUUACCAGUGUACUUAGGUUUAACUUGUGGGACAAAAUUAGACAGGAGUAGUCGUUUGGCUAGAUAAGAGGAACUCUUCUUCUGAAGAUCAUCAUUGAUUGCUUUUAGGAACUCAUGCUCUUGCUCUAAAUUUAACUUCUCGAAGCGUAGCUUCUCAUGAGUUCUUGCAAGCUCUCUAUGAUCUUCUAGAGUAGUUUCAUGAGCUAACUUAAGAGUAUUUAAUUCUUCAGUUAGUCGUUCAGUUUCUCUAUUAUCAUCAUCAUUUGAUUUCUCUUGACUAGCAUGAUAGUUAGCAAAUUCAUUUUCAGCAUUAUCACUAGUCUUAUCAAGAAGCAAGUCAUCUUCUCCUAACAAGUCAUCCUCGUCAAUAUCAAAGUCAAAGUACUCGGGGCGUGAUACCUUGGGGCCUUUUGCCAUGAAGCAGUUUCCAAUCCCUUCAUUUGGUGAAUCAAAUAUGUUGUAGGAGUUGGAGGAAACAAGUGCAAUGCGGGCAACACCUUAAUCUUGACUGUAGUCAGAGUUGGAGUGAUAGCUUCUCUCGGAUUGGUUGUCAGACUCGGAGCCAGAAACCCAUUCACCAACAUGAUUUUGAUGUCUUCUUCUAGAGGUGCUCUUGGUGUAUUUGUCCUUCUUCUCUGAUUCCUUGCCUCUCUGGGAGUGUCUUCGCUCAUAAUGAUCUUGUCUACUCCUUCUCUCUCUGUGAGGUGACUCAUCUCUUGAGCUUUGUCUUCGAGGUGACUCUUCUCUAUGUUUGUUGGGAGCCGAGCAAUCAUUGGAGUAGUGUCCGGGCUUCGCACAGUUGUAGCAGUUUUGGUCAUGACUGGACGAACGCUUUUCAUCAUGUCUUGAGCUUGAGCUUCUCACUUUGGCUCAACUCUUACAGAACUUGUUGAAUUUCCUGACCAUGAGGCUUAUCUCUUCAUUUAUAACAAGGUUGUCACUUGAAGUAGCGGAGCAUUGAAUGAAGCUUUGUAAGCACCGGUAGACUUGUUGUGCAGCUCAUCUUUGUCUUUGAGAGGCAUUUCAUGAGCAACAAUCCUUCCAAUGACUUUGGUAGGCUUGAGAUCUUUGUAGUUGGGCAUCAUUUGGAUUAAUGUUCACAUGGUGUCGUAUCUUCCAUCCAAAGCUCUAAGUAUCUUCUUGAUGAUGAAUUUGUCGGUCAUCUCUUUGCUCCCCAAGCCGGUAGUAUCAUUUGUGAUGAGAGAUAGCUAGAGUACAUCUCAGUGACUCCUUCAUCAUCCUUCAUCUUGAACUUGUCAAGCUGGCUUUGAAGCACAUCCAACUUAGAUUCUCUGACAGAAUCGGUACCUUCGUGCAUAUCAAUCAAAGUAUCCCAAAUUUCCUUUGCAUUCUCAAGGCAACUGAUUUUGUUGAAUUCUUUGGGGCAUAGGUAGUUGAAUAUGAUGUCAUAGGCUUGUGCAUUCAAUUGCAACAUCUUCAAUUCUUCCGUUGUCACAUCAUGAUCCGGUUCUCUCCCUUCUCCAGAUAAAUCACAGUGCACACCAACAUGAACAAUGCCCCAUACGGCAGGAUUAUAACCAAGAAGAUGCAUUUUCAUCUUAUGCUUCCAACUAGCAAAAUUAGUGCCAUCAAAAUAUGGACCUCUAGGGUGAUAACUUCCCUCACUAGAUGCCAUACUCUCCUAUGUUGUGAAAGCAAUGCAAUGGAGAUCAAAUCUCUGAUACCACUUGUAGGAUCGAAAGAAUGUCUAGAGGGGGCUGAUUAGACUACUUGACAAGAUAAAAACUUAGCAUUUUCCCAAUUUUUAAAGUAGGCCAAUUUUAGCAAUUAUGACUAGUCAAGUACACCCUACACAUGCACAUCUAAGAGUAUAUAGCAGCGGAAAGUAAACACAUGCAAGUGUAAAGUAAGGAAGGGUAGGGAGAUCAAACGCAUGAGGUUGACACGACAAUUUUUGGCAUGGUUCCGAUAGGUGGCGCUAUCGUAUGUCCAUGUUACUGGAGACUUCAACCAAUAGAGGUUAACGACUACGAGAGUUCAUGGAGGGAUCCACCCACAAGGGGUCCAGAAAGAAGCGACCUUGUCUAUUCCACCACGGCUUCCGUCCACAUAGGACUGGCCUCACUCAGGGUAGAUCUUCAGGAAGUAGGCGAUCUCCUUGCCCUUACAAACAUCUUGGUUCAACUCCACAACACGAAGUAGGAGGCUCCCAAGCGACACCUAACCAAUCUAGGAGGCACCACCCUCCGAAAGAUUAUAGAUGUGGUAGGACGAUGAACUCCUUGCUCUUGUGCUUCUAAAGAUAGUCUCCUCAACACUCAAUCACUCUCUCAUAGAUUUGGCAUGGGUAGGAGAGAUUGAUCUAGUGGAAAGCAACUUGGGGAGGCUAGAAAUCAAGAUUCAAAUGGUAGGAAUGGAAUCUCUUGAUCUCAACACAUGAGUAGGUGGCUCUAUAUUAGAAAAAUGAAUCUCGCAAUGAAGUGUGUGUUCUGAAUGCUUCCUCUGCGGGUGAGAGGUAGGUGGAGGGGUAUAUAUAGGCAACACACAAAAUCCAACCGUUACACCAUAAUUUACCAACUUGUUGACACCGAAGUUACAAACUUGAUGGUACCGACUUGCUCAAAAGGUAGCAACUUUGAAUCUCGAUGGAACCUAUAUACACAACUCGGCGGCCUCGAACAGGUGACUAACGGUCAGAUGACACAACUGGUGACACCGAUACUAAAACUCGGAAAUUCUGAUUUUGUGUAUCGAUGCAACAGAAGGUUGGUCACCUAAACUCGGUAGCAUCGAUGCAGAAUCGGUUGUACCAAAAUGGUAGGCUUGCCUAGGGUUCUGUCUCGGAUGAAAAUCGGCAGGGCCGAAUAUGGAAACUUGGUGGCACCAAUUUUCGACAUUUGGGUUAGGACAGAAGUGUUAUGUGGGAGAAUGGUGAGUAUUUUUGGUGGCUAUCUCUGAGCACUUGAGUAACCAAUUCAUUUUAAUACCUCAUCCCCUUUUAAUAAUGUUGGCUUUCCUAUGGACUCAAAUGUGAUUUCUCACAAAGUGUAAAAUGAAGAGUCUUCUUGCUUGAAGCUUGAGCCAAUCUUAUUCCUUCCUUGUGUCAAGGGGCAUAUCCACAUAAACAUUUAGCCAAUGCAUCUUUUGAAUUUUUUUUGAAAUAUACUUGGAUAUGAUCAUUAGUCCAAUGAUGCAUAUGUUGUGAUCAAUUAUCAAAACCGCCUUAGGGGGAAAUUGUGCUUUCAACAUCAUGUGUCCCGAGGGUCUGCCCCUAUGGUGAGGGGUGGCUGCCUCCUGACGCUGGUGGCUCCUCGGGCUUCAUGAGCCCGCGUGGUUUCGAGGCCUCGCGAGCAGCGUGUGACCCACGCCCCUUGUAGCUUGUCGAUCUCUUAAGAGGCAAACUCUCGUGCCUUUGGAGCUUGACGCAACUCUCCCGGCUCGUGGGGGAAAAUUCCAUGGCGUGCCUCCAUGGGGUCCCAUGGCACCCCGUCGUCACAUCGUCCAAGCCACACGGCUCCAAGCAGGAGCCCCCGAGCCCAGCCUAACGAGGGUGCCCUGCGCGGCCUCCUACGCCGGAGGGAGGCAGGCAUCGGCUUGGAGCGGGAGGCCCAUGGUAACAGCGUCUUUCGCGACACCCUUCCCCUGGGGGGUGUGGUCGUGGCGGCAGGGUGGCACCGUCCUAGGGGUGUGCGCCGCAAGGCCACCUAUGUCGAGUGUGUUCUUGAGGCAGAUUGCUUCUGUUGUUGCUAUAGGGUUGGUCGCACCGAAUAUGGUGAAGGUGUUCAUCAGGGUUGGCGAUGCGCUCACCUUCACUCUCGGCAAUGUUGGCGAUGCGCUUCUGGCGCCGAAUGGCAAGCUCACUGCGGGGAGUCCCGAUCGACUGGCUACCCUGUGUGUUAUGAGUGCACGCUUGUGGUGGGCGCAGAACAUCACGUUGACUCUUUCGGGCGCAUCGCCGCACGGGCCCGGUAGUGGCCCAAACCCAAUCACCGGGACCCGGAGAAGCAGGAGCACGGCGCGAGGUGGACCUUGCUCGGGCCCCUCAGGUUGUGGACCAAGCGAGUCGUCAUCCGAUGGUGGAGGCGGCUCGCUGGAUGAGCCCCCCGCUUCUGGCGCAACGGGUCGAAGUAGGACGUAGGGUGCCAGGGCCCUCCUGGCGACAGUGACGAGCUCGGUGAUGUGGUGUGCCCAGGAGUCCUAUCCCCCGUCCAUUGGGCGGUGGCGGAGCAGCUCACUUUCCACGAGCAGCGCGCCCUGAGCAUUCUGGUCUCCCACGUGGACAUGGGCCGAGGCACACGCCGCGGGGGACGCGGUGGAGGUCCACCUUGGCGCACUGGGGGCCGCGAGGAGCCCCAUUGCUUGUGCAAGGUGCGAGCGACGACGGUGGUGGCUGCGACGAUGGUGGGUCGGUGAUGGCUGCCCAGCGCCGAGCGUUUGGGGCACGUGCGACGAGCGUCGACCAUGGGGUGAGUGAGGCUGGAGACGAAACUGGAGCACGAGGAUGGCUGCGCACCCCUACCUGGUGCGCCAAAUGUCGGAAUCGGGGUUCCGCAGACCCAACAAGGUUCGAACUCUGGGGUGAGCUCGCACUCCUACCCAGUUCUACCUCUCAAUUUCACUGCGACUCUCCGAUGGCUCGAGCUAAGGAAAGAAAACAAGAACAUAGGAGCAGUUUACCCAAGUUCAGGCCACCUUGCGGUGUAAAACAAUACUCCUACUUGUCUAGACUGUUUGAGGUGGAAGACGAGUAGAAAGGCCAGUUCUUUCUCUAAUGGAGACAAUGGAUGGAUCAUUUGCUACGGAGACCGGGCAUCUCUCUUAUACUAGCCUUGGUCCUCUUCUCGAGAAACACUUGGCAGGAAGGGUCGCCACAACGGCCAUUUUAAAACGGGACAGGAUUGUGGUCCAUGCUACGGCAACAAAAGUCCUUCCCCGGCAACGGCGCAAGAAAUUCUUCUGCUACGGCAACAAAAGUCCUUCCCCGGCAACGCUAGGAUUUCUUCUUGCUACUUCUCUUGCUUGCAUCGAUUUUUCCCUUGAAGAGGAAGGGGUGAUGCAGCAUAGGAGCAGUAAGUAUUUCCCUCAGUUUGAGAACCAAGGUAUCAAUCCAGUAGGAGAAUCUCGUCAAGUCCAGAGUACCUGCACAAACACAAAGCGCUUGCACCCAACGCUAUAAAGGGGUUGCCAAUCCCUUCAAGAUUGAUUGCAAAGUGAGAUCUGACGACGGAAAGUGCAACGAAGAAAAAGUGUAAGGCUGAAAAUAUGGUGUGGAGUAGACCCGGGGGCCAUAGUGUUCACUAGAGGCUUCUCUCAAAAUAGCAAAUAUUACGGUGGGUGAACAAAUUACUGUCGAGCAAUUGAUAGAACCGCGCAAAGUCAUGACGAUAUCUAAGGCAAUCAUCAUACAUAUAGGCAUCACGUCUGAGACAAGUAGACCGAUACUUUCUACAUCUACUACUAUUACUCCACACAUCGACCGCUAUCCAUCAUGCAUCUAGUGUAUUGAGUUCAUGACGAACAGAGUAACGCCUUAAGAAAGAUGACAUGAUGUUGAUGGAUAAUCUCAAACCAAUGAUGAAAACCCCAUCUUUUUACCCUUGAUGGCAACAACAUGAUGCGUGCCUCGCUACCCCUUCUGUCACUGGGUGAGGUCACCGCACGGUACGAACCCAAAACCAAGCACUUCUCCCAUUGCAAGAAUCAUAGAUCUAGUUGGCCAGACAAAACCCACAACUCGAAGAGAAUUACAAGGAUAUGAAAUCAUGCAUAAGAGAGAUCAGAAGAAACUCAAAUAAGAUUCAUAGAUAAUCUGAUCAUAAAUCCACAAUUCANNNNNNNNNNNNNNNNNNNNNNNNNNNNNNNNNNNNNNNNNNNNNNNNNNNNNNNNNNNNNNNNNNNNNNNNNNNNNNNNNNNNNNNNNNNNNNNNNNNNNNNNNNNNNNNNNNNNNNNNNNNNNNNNNNNNCCCCCCCCCCCGAUACUAUCCAUAAUUUCAUCAAAACAAGCAACCAACUCAACAAAAACAUAAUCUCUCAAAAACAGACCAGGCUGUAGCAAUCGGUAUACUUCGUAUACUUUUGGUACCUCAAAAAUUCUGAAAAUUUACGACUGUCUGGGCAAAAGGCAUAUCAACCAGCAGCAAAAUAAAUCAACUCAAAAGAUCUUUCUGAAUAAAAAUGAACAAUCAUCUCGUGAGCGAAAAGUUUCUGUCUUUUUCCAGCAGGAUCAAACAACCAUCACCAAGACUAGUCAUAAAGGUUUUGCUUGGCUCAAACACAAAAAGAAACACAAAAAACACAAUCACAACAGAAUUAUGAUGGUGUGGACGCAACAAAAUAGAAAGAAAAAGAUAAAUUCAUUGGGUUGCCUCCCAACAAGCAUUAUUGUUUAACGCCCUUAGCUAGGCAUAAAAGCGAUAGAAUCACGCAUCGUCGUCUUUGGUGCUCAAACCAUAAGUGGCCCUCAUCAUGGAUUCAUAAGGCAAUCUUAUUUUCUUUCUAGGAAAGUUCUCCUUGCCCUUCUUUAAAGGAAAUUGAAAUCUAAUAUUCCCUUCUUUCAUAUCGAUGAUAGCACCGAUAGUCCUUAGGAAAGGUCUACCAAGAAUAAUACGGCAUGUAGGAUUGCAAUCAAUGUCAAGCACAUUGAAAUCCACGGGUACAUAGUUCCUAUUUGCAAUAAUAAGAACAUCAUUGAUCCUUCCCAUGGGUUUCUUGACAGUAGAAUCCGCAAGAUGCAAAUUAAGAGAACACUCUUCAAUCUCAUUAAAACAGAGAACAUCACAUAAAGACUUUGGAAUUGCGGAAAUACUAGCACCCAAAUCACACAAAGCAUUGCAUUCAUAGUUUUUGAUUUAGAUUUUGAUAGUAGGUUCCCACUCAUCAUGAAGCUUUCAAGGGAUAGAGACUUCCAAUUCAAGUUUCUCUUCAAGAGAUUUUAUCAUGGCUUCGACGAUAUGAUCGGUAAAGGCCUUGUUUCGGCUAUAAGCGUGUGGAGAGUUUAACAUGGAUUGCAUCAAGGAAACGCAUUCAAUCAAGGAGCAACUAUCAUAAUUGAAUUCCUUGAAAUCUAAGGUAAUAAUUUCAUUACUACUCAAAGUUUUGAUAUCUUCUACUCCACUUUCAAUGCUUUUAGCAUCAAGAUAGAUGGACUCUGAAUCAUUGGGGCACUUUUCGACCAAUGUGGAUUUAUAUCCAGACCCAUCAUCAUUAGGUUUGACACAAGAAAAUAAAGAUUCAAUGGGAGUCACGCCAAGCACUUUAAGAUCUUUGUGAUUCUUAUCACGAGAACACGCCUUUUUAAGCCAUUCAUGUCUAGCAUGAAUUUGGGUGGUUCUUUCUUUGCUCUCAAUCAUGGAAACACGCAUAGCUUUCAAAGUUUCAUCCAUAUUGAUCUUGGGAGGAGCACUUCUAACUUUCAAAGCAUCAACAUCACUAGACAUUCUAUCAACGCUCUUAGCCAAAUCGUCAAUUUUGAGUAGUUUUUCCUCUAUGGACGCAUUGAAAAAAAAUUGUGAGUUGAUAAACUCUUUGAUAUUACUCUCUAGAUCAGAGGGUAAGCUAUUGUAAUUUCCAUGAGUAUUGUUGUAGGAGUUGCCAAAGUUAUUAGAGGAGUUACUAGGAAAAGGCCUAGGAACAUAGUUCCCUCUAAAAGCAUUGUUGUUGCCAAAACUAUUCCUACCGACAAAAUUAACGUCCAAGCUAGCGUUGCUACUCUCAAUCCAAGAAGACAAGGGCAUAUCAUUAGGAUCUAAAGGAGCACUUCUAUUAGCAACCAAAUUCAUUAACUCAUCCAUCUUAGCACUCAACGAGUUAAUUUCUUCUAUAGCGUGUACCUUCUUACUAGUAGGUGACCUUUCAGUGUGCCAUAGAGAGUAGUUCGUCAUGAUAUUGUCUAGGAGCUUUGUGGCUUCCCCUAAUGUGAUUUCCAUGAACAUUCCACCUGAGGCAGAGUCCAAGAUAUUUCUAAAGCGAAAUUCAAGCCAGCGUAAAAGAUUUGUAUAAUCAUCCAAAGACUCAAGCCAUGAGCGGGACAAUUUCUAAUCAUCAAUUUCAUUCUCUCCCAAGAUUGUGCAACAUGUUCAUGAUCAAGUUGCUUAAAAUUCAUGAUAUCAGUACGGAGAGAGAUAAUCUUAGCCGGCGGAAAAUACUUGGAUAUAUAAGCAUCUUUGCACUUAUCCCAAGAAUCGAUACUAUUUUUGGGCAAAGACGAAAACCAACUUCUUGCUUGAUCUUGCAACGAGAAAGGAAAAAGCUUCAAUUUAAUCACAUCAUUAUCCACAUCUUUCUUCUUUUGCAUACCGCAAAGCUCAGUGAAGGUAUUGAGAUGGGAUGUGGCAUCUUCACUAGGAAGGCCAGAGAAUUUCUCUUUCAUAACAAGAUUCAGCAAAGCGGCAUUGAUUUCGUAUGACUCCGCACUAGUGGGGGAGCAAUCGGAGUACUAAUAAAAUCAUUAUUAUUAGUAUUCGAGAAGUCAGAAAGUUUGGUGUUUUCAUUCAUGGUGACUUCAGCAAGCAAGCAAGCACACAAGCGAACAAAGAGCAAGCGAGAAAAAGGGCGAACGAAAAAGGAAAACAAAAAAGGCAAAUUGUGAAGUGGGGGAGAGGAAAACGAGAGGCAACUUGCAAACAAAGUAAAUGCAAGAGAUGAGUUUGCGACACUUACUUGGAUGAGUUCUUGACUUGAUCCUCCCCGGAAACGGCGCCAGAAAUUCUUCUGCUACACCAACAAAAGUCCUUCCCCGGCAACGGCGCCAGAAAUUCUUCUGCUACGGCAACAAAAGUCCUUCCCCGACAAUGCCAGGAAUUCUUCUUGCUACUUCUCUUGCUUGCGUCGGUUUUUCACUUGAAGAGGAAAUGGUGAUGCAGCACAGGAGCGGUAAGUAUUUCCCUCAGUUUGAGAACCAAGGUAUCAAUCCAGUAGGAUAAUCUCUUCAAGUCCAGAGUACCUGCACAAACACAAAGAGCUUGCACCCAACAAUAUAAAGGGCUUGUCAAUCCCUUCAAGAUUGAUUGCAAAGUGAGAUCUGAAGAUGGAAAGUGCAACGAAGAAAAAGUGUAAGGCUGGAAAUAUGGUGUGGAGUAGACCCGGGGGCCAUAGUGUUCACUAGAGGCUUCUCUCAAAAUAGCAAAUAUUACGGUGGGUGAACAAAUUACUGUCGAGCAAUUGAUAGAACCGCGCAAAGUCAUGACGAUAUCUAAGGCAAUGAUCAUACAUAUAGGCAUCACGUCCGAGACAAGUAGACCGAUACUUUCUGCAUCUACUACUAUUACUCCACACAUCGACCGUUAUCCAGGAUUCAUCUAGUGUAUUGAGUUCAUGACGAACAGAGUAACACCUUAAGCAAGAUGACAUGAUGUAGAGGGAUAAUCUCAAACCAAUGAUGAAAACCACAUCUUUUUACCCUUGAUGGCAACAACACGAUGCGUGCCUCGCUACCCCUUCUGUCACUGGGUGAGGUCACCGCAUGGUAUGAACCGAAAACCAAGCACUUCUCCCAUUGCAAGAAUCAUAGAUCUAGUUGGCUAGACAAAACCCACAACUCGAAGAGAAUUACAAGGAUAUGAAAUCAUGCAUAAGAGAGAUCAGAAGAAACUCAAAUAAGAUUCAUAGAUAAUCUGAUCAUAAAUCCACAAUUCAUCGGAUCUCGACAAACACACCGUAAAAGAAGAUUACAUCAGAUAGAUCUCCAUGAAGAUCAUGGAGAACUUUGUAUUGAAGAUCCAAGAGAGAGAAGAAGCCAUCUAGCUACUAGCUAUGUACCCGUAGGUCUAUGGUGAACUACUCACGCAUCAUUGGAGAGGUCAUGGUGUUGAUGAAGAAGCCCUCCGUAUCUGAAUCCCCCCUCCGGCAGGGCACCAGAACAUGCCCCAGAUGGGAUCUUGCGGAGACAGAAGCUUCCGGCGGCGGAAAAGUACUUUCGAUGAUCUCCUGAUUUUUUUUAUAGGAUUUUAGGGAAUAUAUAGGCGCAAAACCUAGGUCGGAGGUGGCCCAGGGAGCCCACAAGCCAGGGAGGCGCAGGCCCCCCUGGUCGCGGCUAGGGGGCUUGUGGGGUCCCUGUAGGCCCCCUACCCUGAUUCUUCGGCUUCCCGAUCUUUUUCUCUUUCGGAAAAAAUCUUUUUGGCAGUUUCAUUCCGUUUGGACUCCGUUCAAAAUCCUCCUCUGAAAGGGUCAAAAACAUGGAAAAAAUAGGAACUGGCACUUGGCACUGAGUUAAUAAGUUAGUCCCAAAAAAAAUAUAAAAGGCAUGCAAAACAUCCAAAGUUUGACAUGAUAAUAGCAUGAAACCAUCAAAAAUUAUAGAUACAUUGGAGACGUAUGAGUCCACCCUGACAAAAGUGGUCGGGUGCCAAAGUUCCACGUCAUGAUGCGCAGGUGGGCUCGGGGGUGACCUUCAUCCUGUCUUGCCCCCAGUCUGGGCCCUCUUGCACCAAACAUGAAACCUUUGGGGGUUUCUUUGGGAGUCUGCCAGCUGGCCCCGCAUCCUUAGCACAAAAGUGGAGAGCCCUCUUGUCCAUGCAUGCUCGCACCGCUCCUAUGCCGCUUGCGCAGCCUCCAUCAUCCACAUGAAGGCACGGGAUCAUGAGACCCUACCAGGUCGCCCUUGACGAGCCUGUCGUACGAGAGCCCCAGGUGUGGCCUCAGGACGCGUCCUUGUAUUCGGCAACCUCUCGUGGUCCUUGGCGAUGAUCCUUAGGUGCUCGCCUCACGCGGCGAGGGCCCUUGUGAGGGUCUUCCUUGUUCGGCUUGCCGAUGGGCCGAGCCCGGCUUGUGCAACGUGUCGAUCCUGGGGCCUCACGCCGAUGGGCCUCGGUACCCCCGGUCCAAGGGACCCGACAGCUGAAACCCACUUGUCAUUUCCUUCUGAUCCUCGUUGGGUUUGACACUCUUACUUAUCGAAAGGACUACGAUUGAUCCCCUAUACUUUUGGGUCAUCAAUGGGGCUUAUAGCGUUGGAAUUAGGUCAGCCGGGGCCGCGAGAGACCCAUAAGCUCAGAGAGUGUGCCCUAGGGGCGCCCUCUAGGCUCGUGAUCCCUCGGUGGCCCCUCCGGUAGAUCUUGACGUCAGUAUUUUUUAUUAAUUCCAAAAAUAUUCUCUCAAAAGUUUCAACUCAAUCCGAGAACUUUUAUUUCUACACAAAAACAACACCAUGGUAGUUCUACUAAAAACAACGCCAUUCCCCGUUAGUUUCGUUCAAAUCAUCCAAAUUAGAGUCCAAAACAGGAGCAAAAGUGUUUGGAAAAGUAGAUAUGUUUGGUACGUAUCAAAAUGUCUCCAUGAAUUCCUCAAACUUAGCCUUCUUCUUGUUGACGACUUUGAGGGACGUCAACUUAUCAUCAUCCACAUCCUUGCAAUGGAGAAGAACGAGUGAAAGUGCCAUGUCGGCUCCACAACGCGUCGCAGACUUCUUCCACGUGUGCACCAAGCUAAGAAUGUCGUCUAGUCGAGACAUGAGAGACUCCAAAUCAUUUUGGAGCUCCUCCUCUAGUGGAAACUCCUUGUCGAUUCUCCCCAUGACAAACUUUUGGCGUGUUAUAUACCCGAGGACGAUGUUGAUGCACUCAUUUAGUCGAAGGGUAUUAAUGGCAACAUUGUCUUGGAGCAACAUUGGGGAAGGAUCCAGGUCCUUCUUGAUCCUCUCGAUCUAUAUAUUGAUAUCAAGGCAGAACUAUAGUGACAAGAGCAUGGUUAAGAUGAACAACUACUGAAACCCUAAAAUAAAAAUGUUUCAUUCGACCAAGCAUUGCACCUUCAAACUUCAUGUUCAUAUCCACGCCAAAGUCUUCAACAUACUGCUCCAGCUCGGCCUUCUUCUUUAGCAACUCGGUGAUUUGCACGCCUAGUUUAUUCUUCUCCUUUUCAAAGCCACUCACUUGGGUAUUGCACCACGACUCCCACUUAGUGAAAUGUGUGUUGAGCCCAAAGAUCUUAGAUUGUGCCACCUUAGCGGCAACCUUUAGGACCUUGUUCUCCUCUUCAAACUUCCCGACCGACUUCAACUUGUCUUCAGCUUCCUUGGUUUGGGCCUUGGCGUUCUUCCAUGUUACCGCGAGUUUGUUGUCCUUGUCUUCGAGGGCUUGCUUCAUGGUUCCUAAAUAAAUAGCGGUCGUGAGCCUCUUUACAAGUUGGUUGUUCUCACUAUGAACAUCUGCUAAAGCGAGUUCAAUCGAAUCAAAGACGAGGCAAAUAUUGGAAAACAGUGGGAUGACGCAAUCUACCUCGGAGAGCGAGCUUUUCUUGGGUGGGGCGUUCACUCUUAUGCUUUUGAGCAUCCAAUUCCGUCUGGAUCUGCCACACCUCCUUCUCUAGGGCGGCGUAGUGAGUACCAAGUUCACAAGGUUUCGUUACAAGAUGAAAAAGUGAUAGUCAGUCGGAUUCAAAUCAAUGCAAGCCUACGACCACUAAGACUUCUCAAGCCCAAACUCUAAUUCAUGAGUAUUUCAUAGUCAGAAGCUUUUCACACUUAAAAACUACCAAGGCUGCUCAAGCCUAGGCCCUGGUUCACGAGUAGUUCAUAGCAAGAAGCUUUUCGCACUUAAAAACUACCAAGGCUGCUCAACCCUAGACUCUUAUUCAUGAGUAGUUCAUACUCAUAAGCUUUCCGCACUUAAAACAUCCACUCAGCCAACCGUGUGGAGGAUGGCACUCUGAAUGCCAAAGAUAUAAAGAGUCUAGUUCUAAGACUCCCACCGACUCCUUCCAAUCAACGGUAGCAUCGAAGACUACACCCAGUGGAUGCCCACUGCAUUUUCCCACUAGAAUAAACUAGCUCAGGUCGGUACCGGCCGGGCUAAGUGGAAAACAGGCUCAAAGAAAUUCUAAGCCUCCCGCCAACUGCUUUGAGUCAAUGAUAGUCUCAGGGACUACAACUAGUGUGUGCACUUAGCGUGCUGAUACGUCUCCAUCGUAUCUACUUUUCCAUACUCUUUUGCCCUUGUUUUGGACUCUAAUUUGCAUGAUUUGAAUGGAACUAACCCGGACUAACGUUGUUUUUUGCAGAAUUGCCAUGGUGUUGUUUUUGCGCAGAAAUAAAAGUUCUCGGAAUGGCUUGGAAAUUUACGAGGAUUUUUUUGGAAUGUAUAAAAAUAGUGGCACAAGAAUCACCGGAGACAUGGAGCGAGGAGCCCACCAGCCCAGGAGGCGCCCCCCUGGCCGCGCCUAGCAGGCUUGUGGGGCCCUCGGGGCUCCGUCGCCUCCAACUCCAGCUCUAUUUAGUCCCUUUCGUUCGGAAAAAAAUCAAGGAGAAGAGUUCAUUCCGUUUUACGAUAUGGAGGCGCCGCCACCACCUGUUCUUCCUCUAGAGGGCAGAUCUGGAGUCCGUUCUGGGCUCCGGAGAGGGGAGAUCGUCGCCAUCGUCAUCACCAACCUUCCUUCAUCGCCAAUUCCAUGAUGCUAUUCAUUGUUCGUGAGUAAUCUCAUCGUAGGCUUGCUGGACGGUGAUGAGUUGGAUGAGAUCUAUCAUGUAAUCGAGUUAGUUUUGAUGGGGAUUGAUCCCUAGUAUCCACUAUGUUCUGAGAUUGAUGUUGCUACUACUUUGCCAUGCUUAAUUCUUGUCACUAGGGCCCGAGUGCCAUGAUUUCAGAUCUGAACCUAUUAUGUUCUCGUCAAUAUAUGUGUGUUCUUGAUCCUAUCUUUUAAGUUGUAGUCACCUACUAUGUGUUAUGACCCGGCAACCCAGAGUGACAAUAGCCAGAACCACUCCCGGAGAUGACCAUAGUAUGAGGAGUUCAUGUAUUCACUAAGUGCUAAUGCUUUGUUCCUAUUCUCUUUUAAAAGGAGAACCUUAACAUCUCGUAGUUUCCAUUAGGACCCCGCUGCCAUGGGAGGGAUGGACAAUAGAUGUCAUGCAAGUUCUUUUCAUAAACACGUAUGACUAUAUACGGAAUGCAUGCCUACAUUACAUUGACGAACUGGAGCUAGUUACUUAUCUCCCCAUGUUAUAAUUGUUACAUGCUGAACGUCAUCCGGCAUAAUUAUCCAUCACCGAUCCAAUGCCUACGAGUGUUUCCUACUGGUCCUUGCUACGUUACUUUGUCGCUAUCGCACUACUCUGUUACUGAAACUUUGCUGCAGAUACUAAGUCCUUCAGGUGUGGUUGAAUUGACAACUCAACCGCUAAUACUCGAGAAUAUUCUUUUGCUUCCCUUUGUGUCGAAUCAACAAAUUUGGGUUGAAUACUCUACCCUCGAAAACUGUUGUGAUCCCCUAUACUUGUGGGUUAUCAAGACUAUUUUCUGGCGCCGUUGCCGGGGAGGCCUAGCACUAUUCUCUGAGUCACUUGGGAUUUACGUCUUUUGAUCACUAUGAGGAAUCCGAAAGAUCCAAAAACUAAAGUCUUGCCCUCAACUACGAGGACAGGUAAGGAACUGCCAUCUAGCUCUGCACUUGAUUCACCUUCAAUUAUGAGUAAGUUUGUGACACCACCUCCUCCUAGAAAUUCUGAUAUGUCGCAUGUCCUUGAUGAUGCUACUUCUUCUAUCCAUGAUGCUUGUGAUGAUGCUUUGCUUGAUACUGCUUUGCCACUAGGUGCAUUCCUUGAUGCACAAAUUGCUAGAGUUGCUGCUGAAUGUGAUGAUACUUCUGAAACUGUUGAGAUUAUUGAAGUAGAACCUGCUAUUUCCCCUGUUAGAACUAGCUCCCCUAGAUAUGAAUUGCCUGAUAUACCUGAGAGUUAUGUUAUGGAGGGAGAGAUAGCUGACGACUUUCUUGCUUGUAAGGAUAGCUAUGACCUUGAGAAAUUACUGCGCAAGUGGAAAGAAAAAUCUUUGAACGCUAGGAUGAAAUACGGCCCGAAGUUUGCUACUUCGCCUGUCUUUGUGACCGAUAAGGAUUAUGAAUUCUCUGUCGACCCUGAGUUAAUCACUUUGGUCGAAUCUGAUCCUUUUCAUGGAGUCUGAAACGGUUGUAGCACAUCUUACUAAGCUGCACGAUAUAGCCACCAUAUUCACGAGUGAGGAAAAGAUCCGCCACUACUAUAUCCUUAAGCUGUUUCCCUUCUCGCUAAAGGAUGAUGCUAAGAGUUGGUUCACUUAUCUUGCUCCUGGUUGUGUGUGUAGUCCCCACGAUAUGAUCUACUACUUCUCUGAGAAAUAUUUUCCUGCCCAUAAGAAACAAGCUGCCUUGCAGGAUAUAUAUAACUUUGUGCAAGUUGAAGAAGAGAGUCUCCCACAAGCUUGGGGGAGGCUUGUCCAGCUGUUGAAUGCUUUGCCUGAUCACCCUCUUGAGAAGAAUAAAAUACUUGAUAUCUUCUAUAAUGGACUAACCGAUGCCUCUAGGGUCCACCUAGAUAGUUGUGCUGGUUGUGUUUUCAGGGAACGAACUGUGGAACAAGCUGAGAUUCUAUUGAAUAAUAUUUGUGCAAUGAGAAUGCUUGGACUAUUCCCGAACCACCUCCAAAGCCAACUCCGAAGAAAAGAGGUAUCCUAUUCCUCAGUCCUGAAGAUAUGCAAGAAGCUAAGAAAUCUAUGCGAAAGAAAGGCAUCAAAUCUGAAGAUGUCAAGAAUCUACCACCUAUCGAAGAGAUCCAUGGUCUUGAUAACCCGACACAGGUAGUAGAGGUAAAUUCUCUUCGUAGAUUCAAUGAGAAUGAUAUUUCUUUUGAUAAACCUGCUAGCUUAUGCUUAGAUGAAUUUGAUAACUUUGUUGCCAAACAACAAAGUUUCAAUGAUUAUGUUAGCAGACAAUUGGAACAGAAUGCUCGUAUGCUUAGUCAUUUAAGUGCUUGUGUGGAUAGAAAUGUCAAUGGCCUUAAGCUUUUGAGUAAACAUGCCUCUAUGGUCACUACUGAGGUAGAACAAGUACUUAAGGCUCAAAAUGACUUGCUCAAUGAGCUGAAUGACAAGUCUGUUAGAGUUAUCACUAGAGGUGAUAGAAUGACCCAGGAACCUUUGUAUCCUGAGGGUCAUCCUAAGAGAAUUGAACAAGAUUCUCAAGGAGUUAGCACCGAGGCACCUAGUCAUCCUAGGAAGAAAAAGAAAGAUGAUAGGAACUUGCAUGCUAGCAACCCCGUUGCUGUUACACCCGAGAAUACAAAUGAUGUCUCUGUUUCUGAUGCUGAAACACAAUCUGGUGAUGAACAUGAGCCUAAUGAUAAUAUCGAUAGUGAUGUUCAUGAAGAUGCUCAACCUAGCAAUGAUAAGGAUGUGGAGAUUGAACCAGUUGAUCUUGAUAACCCACAACCUAAGAAUAGGAGAUACGAUAAGAACGACUUCACUGCUAGGAAGCAUGGUAAAGAAAGGGAACCAUGGGUUCAGAAACCCAUGCCCUUUCCUCCCAAACCAUCCAAGAAAAAGGAUGAUGAGGAUUUUGAGUGCUUUGUUGAAAUUAUUAGACCUGUCUUUCUGCAAAUGCGCCUGACACGUAUGCUCAUGAUGUCUCUGUAUGCUAAGUACAUGAAGGAUAUUGUGACUAAUAAGAGGAGGAUACCUGAGGUUGAGAUUUCCACCAUGCUCGCUAAUUACACCUUCAAGGGUGGAACUCCUAGGAAACUAGGUGAUCCCGGAGUGCCCACUAUACCUUGCUCCAUUAAAGGAAACUACGUUAGAACUGCUUUAUGCGACCUUGGAGCCGGUGUUAGUGUUAUGUCUCUCUCUCUCUCUCUCUCUAUCGUAGACUUGAAUUGGAUAAGUUGACACCCACUAAAAUCUCUUUGCAAAUGGCCGACAAAUCAACUGCUUUCCCUAUCGGCAUUUGCGAGGAUGUGCCUGUUGUGGUUGCUAAUGUUACUAUCUUAACAGACUUUGUUAUUUUGGAUAUUCCCGAGGAUGAUGCCAUGGCGGUCAUUCUUGGAAGACCCUUUUUAAACACUGCAGGGGCUGUUAUUGAUUGCAACAAAGGAAAUGUCACUUUCCAUGUCAAUGGUGAUGAUCAUACGGUGCACUUUCCGAAGAAACAAUAUCGAGUACAUUGCAUGAAUGCUAUUGAAAAAACUUCAUCGAUUCUUAUUGGGACCUUUGAAUGCCCUAUACCUACUGUUAAGAUGAAGUAUGAUUUUCUUGUUGGGGAUAUGCACAUCCCCAUUGAGGUAACUUAGUGACUAUUCGGAAAUUCUCCGGUUUUAUGCGAUUCCAAAAGGUUUGUCAAGGAGACUUGAUCAACCUCAUUGACAGAUUUCUUUUGAUGGCCAUGAUAUGGAUGAAUCUACAACCUCCUGUUUCGAACUUCUAUUUUUUGUUGCUUAGAAGGAAAAUGAUAGACUUAGCUUUAGUUUUUCCUGUUUUCUGCUUUUUGCGUCCCGUAGAAAAGUGUCCCGAAAAUAAAAUUUCUUCAAAUGCCCUGAAAAUCAAGUAUGAUUUUUUCUGGAAUUUUUGAAAAAUUCUAAGAUCGAGAGCUAGUCAGGGGGAUGCACCAGUGGGCCACAAGCCCAGGAGGCGCGGGCACCCCCCGGCCGCGCCUACCAGGCUUGUGGGGCCCACGUUUCCCCCCUCCACUUAUUCCAGCUCCCAUCUCCUUCUCCUACCUCCAGAAAAAUCCAUUCUACAGCUCAAACCCAUGUUCUUGCUCUUCUUGCUGCGAUUUUCGAUCUCCUUGUGCAAAGCCCCAUUCACCAAACUGUUUUGGGGGAAUUGUUCCUUGGUAUGUGACUCCUCCAUUGGUCCAAUUAGUUUUUGCUCUAGUGCUUUAUUCGUUGUGUAUUUUUGCUGCCUUGGUGACCCUGUUCUUGAGCUUUGCAUGCUAAUUUUAGCUGGUCCCAAGUGGUUUUCAUGCAUGAUAUGGCCUCUAGGCACUUGUAGGAGUAGUUGCUAUGAGUUUCGUUGAGCCUUGUUCACUUCUCCCUUGAGUCACUAAAAAUUUCAGAAAAGGAAGAUGUCCAGGAGAAACUAUGAUGGUGGUUCCUCAAGCAAGAGGGGUCCCCGUCUCGCGCUUCGGGAGCCCGAUCCUUACCAACCGAGGAACGCACAGGUACAACCAUGUGAAUGGCCCUCUGAUGAAUUCAUGAUUGAUGCAAGUUUCAAAGACUAGUUUGAUACAUUUGUUCACAACGCCGGGCUCGAAGAAUUCAUCUCCGAUAAAUGUGAACAGUAUACUACCCUCACUGCCUCUUUUGUUCGUAUAUUCAAAUUUUCAGUUGGCUGUGACACAUCCAUACUGUUUGAUCUGUAUAACAAAUCGUAUACCAUGGAUUUAGAGGAUUUCAUUAGAAUUCGCAGGAUACCUGAUUGGGGUAGUGUCACUGAUCCUCCUAAGUCUUCGGUUAGAGAUUUUAUCUCUAGUUAAACUGUCGGAGAAACUAGAGAUAUUACGCAGGCUACCAUGGGGAGCAUUCAUUUUCCCGCCUUGCAUUACUUUGCCCUCUUUAUAGGUAGAUGCAUUAGCUGCAAGAUUGAACAUUGUCACCUCUGCGCAUCUGACCUUAGUAUUCUUAAGAGUGCAGUAACGGGUGAUAGAAGUUUCAACAUGGGAGCUAUAAUAGCGAGGAGGCUAAAUAAUAAUGCUAAUGAAGGGGAUUUAUUUGGUGGGAUCUAUGCCACUCGCAUAGCAAAUUUUCUUGGAGUACCCAUCCGCGGAGGAGAUCCCCCGCUCCAUACAGCUUUCCUUGAUCGCGCCGCUAUGACACGCUAUCAGUUCCUUGAGAAGGAUAAUGCAUCCCUCCUAUACCGGUUAAUAUUUAACCGAGAGCGUGUUUUCCAUAUUACCCUUCCUGCUCCUGCCUUCUUUGACUUUCAGGUAAAACGGAGAUAUUACAUAACCAGAGGAGAGGCAGAGGAGUAUGAGAGGGAGGCAAAGGUUGCUUGCCUCCGUGAGGCAGCUAUUCAGGCGGUAGCUGCCGCGCUCCCGUACAACCCCCAUUAUGAUUUUGGAUAUCGCCCAGACCAGCCACAGGAGUAGACCAACUUAGGCGAAAAGCCUAAGCUUGGGGGAGUACGUGUUUCUCAUCGACUUUAUAUUCUUGCUCACACUUUCACUUUGAUAGUCGGUGGUCACACCUUCCCAUUGUAUCAUCCAUGCUAGUUUAUUUAUUUUUCUCGCUUUCUUCUCGUGUGUUUGUUUAGAUUGAGAAAACCCAAAAAUAUUUCCCGUUCUUCUUUUGUUUGUUGGGAGCUUUCCCGUGUAAAUAGUUUUCUUUUUCUUUAGGUCAAGGUAGAAGACCAUGGUUACAAAGUUUAGUGGCUCUCGCAUGCAUAUCUAUUUAUCUGUCAAAGAGCCAUAUUACUUUGUCUUCUCCUUUGUAUUUGUUUGCAGAUUCUAGCUUAGUCCAAUGCACGAACACUCUUAUUAUUGUUCACAUCAUUCGGUUGUGCAAGUGAAAGGCAAUAAUGACGAUAUAUGAUGAAGUGACUGGGCCUGGAAAAGCUGGUAUGAACUCGAUCUAUUUUACUUUUGUAACUAUGACUAGCUCAUCGUUCCGAAUUCAGCUUUGUUAUGAGAGAAACAUGUUUGCAAUGACAACUUAGAGAUCAUAGUUUCUGAUGCCAUGCUUAAUUAGCUAGGAGCUUAUAAUGGUUUGUCUUGGAUGCCAACAUGAAUUUUGAGAUGAUUAUGAUGUAGUAUGAUAGGAUGGUAUCCUCCUUUGAAUGAUUCAAGUGGAUUGACUUGGCACAUGUUUACGCAUGUAGUUGAAACAAAAUCAACAUAGCCUCUAUGAUAUUCAUGUUCAUGGUGAUUUAUGUCCUACUCAUGCUUGCACUCGAUGUUGGUUAAUCUCAAUGCAUAUUGAUGACUGUUGUCGCUCUCUAGUUGGUCGCUUCCCAGGCUUUUGCUAGCCUUCACUUGUACUAAGCGGGAAUACUGCUUGUGCAUCCACUUCCAUAAACCCAAAGUUGUUCCAUAUGAGUCCACCAUACCUACCUAUAUGCGGUAUCUAGCUACCGUUCCAAGUAAAUUUGCAUGUGCCACUCUCUAAACCUUCAAGAAAUAAUCUAUUUUGCAUGCCCGAACCGCUCAUGUGGUGACAAGGGGCGAUCAGUAUCUUCCAUGCUAGGCGUGUUAUCCUCGAUACGUGUUUAUUCACUAUCAUUCACGAGAAAGGGGCCGGUAAUUGGAAUGCCCAGUUCCACGCUCUAAUCGGAAAUAUAAUUGCAAACAAAACUCCCCCUGGAUUGUUGUUGGUAUGGACGGCACCCGAGUAUUCGUCUAGUCAUGGAGUGUGAUUGAUUGGUGGUGGGGGAGUCAAAACUUUACUUUUCUGUUUGGGAACCGCCUAUAGUAUGUGUAGCAUGGAAGAUGGUGAAAAAUCUUGGUCAUUGCGUUGACAAUGAAAGCAUGCCACCCAAAAUUAUUUAUCUCUGUCUUCAAACCUUGAGCUCUGGCACCUCUGCAAAUCAAUGCUUCCCUCUGCGAAGGGCCUAUCUAUUUAUGUUUCAGUUGAAUCAUCCUUUCCUUAUAAAAGCACCAAUUAGAGAGCACCUCCGUCAUUUUUAUGCUUCGCUAUUAAUUUUAUUGAGUAUGACUGUGACUAGAUCUUGUUUGCCAUGAAUUACAAUGUUCAGUCAGCCCUUGGUCUUUGAAGGUGCUCUGCAUUUAUGUUUUGCGGUCUCAGAAAGAGCUAGCGAGAUAUCAUCUGUUCAUAUUGCUUCAUGAUUGUUUUGAUUGAAGUGUUGACGUUUGGAACUUAUUAUUAUUGCUCGCUAGUUGAUUAUGCCAUUGAUAUGAGUUUACCAUGAGACCUAAAUGCCAUUGCUUAUGUGGUUAGCUUAUGAUCUUGCUGAAAAUCUGAAUAUGAGUUAGACAUAAUUACAACAACAAGAUCAAACAGAGUUCGUAAAAGUUUUUCUUUUCUCUCUUUCGGUUUGUCAACUGAAUUGCUUGAGGACAAGCAAGGCUUUAAGCUUGGGGGAGUCGAUACGUCUCCGUCGUAUCUACUUUUCCAAACUCUUUUGCCCUUGUUUUGGACACUAAUUUGCAUGAUUUGAAUGGAACUAACCCAGACUAACGCAGUUUUCAGUAGAAUUGCCAUGGUGUUGUUUUUGCGCACAAAUAAAAGUUCUCGGAAUGACCUGGAAAUUUACGAGGAUUUUUUGUGGAAUAUAUAGAAAAUACUGGCGCAAGAAUCAACCGGAGACGUGGAGCGAGGAGCCCACAAGCCCAGGAGGCGCGGGCCCCCCUGGCCGCGCCUAGUAGGCUUGUGGGGCCCUCGGGGCUCCGCCGCCUCCAAUUCCAGCUCUAUUUAGUCCCUUUCGUUCGGAAAAAAAUCAAGGAGAAGAGUUCAUCGCGUUUUACGAUACGGAGGCGCCACCACCACCUGUUCUUCCUCUGGAGGGCAGAUCUGGAGUCCGUUCUGGGCUCCGGAGAGGGGAGAUCAUCGCCAUCGUCAUCACCAACCUUUCUUCAUCGCCUAUUCAAUGAUGCUCUUCAUCGUUCGUGAGUAAUCUCAUCGUAGGCUUGCUGGACGGUGAUGGGUUGGAUGAGAUCUAUCAUGUAAUCGAGUUAGUUUUGAUGGGAAUUGAUCCCUAGUAUCCACUAUGUUCUAUGAUUAAUGUUGCUACUACUUUGCCAUGCUUAAUGCUUGUCACUAGGGCCCGAGUGCCAUGAUUUCAGAUCUGAACCUAUUAUGUUCUUGUCAAUAUAUGUGUGUUCUAGAUCCUAUCUUGCAAGUUGUAGUCACCUACUAUGUGUUAUGACCCGGCAACCCCGAAGUGACAAUAGCCGGAACCAGUCCCGGAGAUGACCAUAGUAUGAGGAGUUCAUGUAUUCACUAAGUGCUAAUGCUUUGUUCCGGUUCUCUGUUAAAAGGAGAACCUUAAUAUCCCGUAGUUUCCAUUAGGACCCCGCUGCCACGGGAGGGAUGGACAAUAGAUGUCAUGCAAGUUCUUUUCAUAAGCAUGUAUGACUAUAUACGGAAUGCAUGCCUACAUUACAUUGACGAACUGGAGCUAGUUACUUAUCUCCCCAUGUUAUAACUGUUACAUGCUCAAUGUCAUCCGGCAUAAUUAUCCAUCACCGAUCCAAUGCCUACGAGUUUUUCCUAUUGGUCCUUGCUACGUUACUUUGUCGCUACUGCUGUCACUGCUGCUACUGUUACCGCUACUGCUUUCACUCCUACUGUUACUGCUGCUACUGUUGCUAUCACACUACUCCGUUACUGAAACUUUGCUACAGAUACUAAGUCUUUCAGGUGUGGUUGAAUUGACAACUCAACUGCUAAUACUCGAGAAUAUUCUUUUGCUUCCCCUUGCGUCAAAUCAACAAAUUUGGGUUGAAUACUCUACCCUCGAAAACUGUUGUGAUCCCCUAUACUUGUGGGUUAUCACGUGCCCCCACUAGAAUAAACUAGCUUGGGCCAGUCCUGGCCGACCCGAGUGGAAAACAGACUCAAAGAAAGUUUAAGACUCCUGCCGACUGCUUCUAGUCGAUAGCAGUCUUGGGGACUACACCUAGUGGGGUGCAUUUAGCAUGCCCCCCGCUAGAGAAAAAACACCCACUGGGUGUGCUCCGUGCAAACCCACUCAGAAACAAAAAGACACCCAUAUGAAUACUUCAAGACUCUGACUCAAAAUUGUACUUACAAUAGUACUUACUCGAACCUUAGUCCUCAAAGCCUCACUGGCAUCAUACAUCUCAUUUAGUCAGUCGUGCAUCAGUUCCACUUGGAUAAUAUCCUCCUUGCUUGACCCCACCUAAUCUUCACGAGUCCUGUGCAGAGUGAAUAAGGUGAACAGGGUAGGCUAUGGGGUAGGCAUUGGCAAAGGAGUGGAGGAUGCGGCAGCAAGUUUGGAGCCCGCCCAAAUCGUCACACUCAGGCGGAUAGACUAGUCAACGACCUUGGAUGGAAAGUCUCAACUCACUCGUCUUGUCGAGGUGUCCUGCAUAAUGAUAUCACUGUCGCACGACACUGUCACGCCCAAGAUGCGACCCUAUCCUCAAUUUGGCACGAGGGCCUCGUCAGGGAUAGAAGCGCAUCUCGUCGUGUCGCAAGAAUGGAUAUCGUUACAAGUACAUGUACUGAAAAGAAGAGAUAUAUAUAUAGAAUUGGCUUACACUCGCCACAAGCUACAUUAGAGUCACAUCAGUACAUUACAUAAUCAUCAAGAGUAAGAGCAGGGUCCGACUACGGACGAAAACAAACGAGAAAAAUAAGAACGACGUCCAUCCUUGCUAUCCCAGGCUGCCGGCCUGGAACCCAUCCUAGAUCGAUGAUGAAGAAGAAGAAGAAGCAACUCCAAAUGAACAAUCAACGCGCUUGCGUCAAGUAACCUUUACCUGCACCUGCAACUGGUGUUGUAGUAAUCUGUGAGCCACACGGGACUCAGCAAUCUCAUUUCCAAAGGUAUCAAGACUAGCAAAGCUUAAUGGGUGAGGCAUGGUUAAGUGGUGAGGUUGCAGCAGCGGCUAAGCAUAUAUAUAUAUAUGGUGGCUAAAUUACGAGUUCAAGUAAUAAGAGGGGGAAGAUCUACGCAUAACGGACAUGACUAUUGAUGAUCAAAUGAAUGAUCCUGAACACCUACCUACGUCGGACAUAACCCCAUCGUGUCCUCGGUCGGAGAAGGAACUCACGAAAGAGACAGUCGCAGUUACGCACACAGUUGGCAUAUUUUAAUUAAGUUAACUUCAAGUUAUCUAGAACCAGUGUUAAACAAAGCUUCCAUGUUGCCACAUAACCGCGGGCACGGCUUUCCGAAAAGAUUUAACCCUGCAGAGGUGCUCCAACUAGUCCAUCACAAAUUACCACAAGCCGCAUAGAAAUCCUCAAUCACGAAGCUCGCGAUCUCGUCGGAUUCCCUAGUGGAAAACCUCAACUCUGAGAUUACCCAAAAGCAUCACCGGAAUCCCGAUGCACAAGAUAUCUCGUCAAAGGUAAAAACUAAUCCAGCAAGGUCACCCGGUGUGUCGACGAACCCGAUAGGAGCCACGUAUCUCGUUCUCAGGACACACCAUCUAUGCAUAGUGGACGGUAGCCAAACCUCGAGUUGCCACGUGCUGGCACCGCCGACUGCUAGGUGGGUGGACCAACACUCAUGCGGAGCACUGGCCCGGGGGGUGAUUAAAUUUCCUCGGGUUAAUUACUCCCUAUGCAGUUCAUUAGUUAUUAGGCAAAUGUAGUACCAAAGUUGGGCCCUGCCAGACCAGCUUUAUUCUAAAACGAAUUAUCAAGGGGGUCCCCAUAACAACCCCGAUCGUGUUAGGAGCGCUCAUUUAUGGAACAUAAGACCGGUAGCCGGAAACUAAGGGGGCAAAGGUGGAACAAAACACCAGGCUAGAAAGNNNNNNNNNNNNNNNNNNNNNNNNNNNNNNNNNNNNNNNNNNNNNNNNNNNNNNNNNNNNNNNNNNNNNNNNNNNNNNNNNNNNNNNNNNNNNNNNNNNNNNNNNNNNNNNNNNNNNNNNNNNNNNNNNNNNNNNNNNNNNNNNNNNNNNNNNNNNNNNNNNNNNNNNNNNNNNNNNNNNNNNNNNNNNNNNNNNNNNNNNNNNNNNNNNNNNNNNNNNNNNNNNNNNNNNNNNNNNNNNNNNNNNNNNNNNNNNNNNNNNNNNNNNNNNNNNNNNNNNNNNNNNNNNNNNNNNNNNNNNNNNNNNNNNNNNNNNNNNNNNNNNNNNNNNNNNNNNNNNNNNNNNNNNNNNNNNNNNNNNNNNNNNNNNNNNNNNNNNNNNNNNNNNNNNNNNNNNNNNNNNNNNNNNNNNNNNNNNNNNNCUAGGUCGAUCAGGUUGAAGGUUUCAUGGCAUUGUUGAGAGGCUGAUAUUUAACAUGUGGUAGGCAACGAGACAUAACGACAGAAACGAUAAAACUAGCAUGGCAAUGAUAGUAAUGGUAUCUGGGGAAAUGGUCAUCUUGCCUGAGAUCCAGCUUGGAAGAAGAAUGCAUCCGUGAAGCAGACAAACCGACGUAGUCGAACAGGUCCUCACAAUCCGGCACGCUGCGGAACUCUAUCGAGAUGAAGCAAACCGGAAACACAAAUCAACACACGGAAUUCACCACACGAUGCACAACAUAAAUGAUGCAUGAGAAGCUGAAACAUGCAAGUCACGGCAUGACAAAUCACACACUCAAACACUACACAUUAAGUGAAGUUCAAUAUGCAACGAGUUGCAUAUUGACGAAACUCCACGUUAAUUUAUUUAGUUCUAUCCCGAUUAGGUACACAGCAAUAUUAAAUGUGGUUAAACAUGGCAAGAGGUGAAGCGUAAUUAAACUACUUAUCUAGGCAUUUUAAAUGAGGUCGGAAAUGACAUAUAGCACCUCCGAGAUGACCUCACAUGUUAAUUUACGAUUCUGUCCAGAUCUGAACUAACACAUUUAAAUAGUUGUUAAACAGCAAAACAAAUAGGUUCACAUGAAUCUACGCGUCAUUUCAAGCAAUCUACACAUAAAGAACAUCUCCAACGGAGCUACGGGUCAAAAGUUACAAGCACCGCAAGAUAUGAUAGCAUGAAUGCAAUAUGUGUGCAACGAUGGCUAUGAGCACUUCAAAACAUACAACCAGCAAGAGAAAAUGAAACUACACGAGAUUAUAAGCAAGUUUCAUGUAGGACACGAUCAAAUCGGAGCUACGGUUCAACAACUACGAGCAAAACAAGAACUGACUACAAUCUGCCAAAAUCAGCCACAUAGCAUUUUCUACACCCCACAACUACGGGCUACACAACUCCGAUAAACUCAAGCAAGGCAUGACACCAAAGAGGGCAAGAAGCGCUACUACAAACAACUAACAACAACUAGCAUGGCAUCAUGGAUCACUAGGAAAAGAAGACACAAAAUGGCAUCUCACACACUAUUUCAGACUUAGUGAAAAUUACACCUCAUGAAAGUGCAGUUUUCGGUCUGAAGCAAUAUUGACAGCAGAAAAACCUAUAGCUACAGGACUCCAAAUGGCAUGAAAAUUCACAGAAUGCUAGAGAAACACAAGGGCUACAACUAACUCCAUUGGACCAACCUCAGAAGAGCUACAUAUCACAAGAUAGAAGCAAAACAAAACAGCAACAAAAUAAUAACAGAUUCCAGACUUAGAAAUAUUUCAGCUCCUCAAAAUCAGCACUAUUUCUAGCAACUUGAGGGCAAUCAAACCACACCUAAACAUGCAUUUCUAUUGCAACUAAAAAUACCAGGGGCUAGUCUAAACAUCAAAGAUCAACUCUCUAGUUGACAACUCCGUCAAACGAAGCACGGAAUAAAUCCUAUGAAUUAAACAAAAGGGCAUCACGGCAAAAUAUCGCGUGAACUAACUUGCUCAAAAGCUAAAACAAAUUGCACAGAAAAAUCACAUGGAUUUUUCUACCCCGAAAACAUAUAAAAUAUGUGGGGUUGCACAACAAAAUAUUGCCACACGUAAAUGCGAGAUAUAACCCUAAACACGGAAAAUAAUCUAGCGGCAAAUCCCUACACGCAAAAAUACCAACGACUACUCUAAAAUACGUGGCAAAGGUGUCCCUAGAGCUUGGACAUUUUAUCUAAGGCAUUCGAGCAAUCCGGACUUGCGCGAAAAAUAAAUAGGGGCACUAUCAUAUCUAGACAGCACGUAAACCUAGGCAUAUGGCGGCUCAAACUACGUCAAACAAUUAUGCAUGUUGCAAAAACGGAUUCUACGCGAAAUUCUACGCCAAAACCAUAUACAAUUUCCUCGAUUCGACUUACGGAUAAUAAUCUACGGACGAUCUAAUAUUCAUCUAUUUUUCUGGAAUUUAUUAAUACCGAGAAUAACCUAAUAUACUAAUGGGCCUAACGGGGCGCAAGAUAAAUUAACACCGCAUUGUGCAAAAAAAGAGGGCUCGGGUGUUGGCUCACUUUGGGCCAGCCCGUUCGGUGGAGAGGCAGGUCGGCUCGGCUCCUGGAGCAGUCAAGGCCCACGCGGGGCGAGGGCGCUGCUGGCCUGGAUCGGGAGAGGGGAGACUAGGCCGGCUGCAGCAGCCCACGGGGCCGGCGCGGUCAACCGCCUCUCCCCCGAUCUGGUGCUCGCUCCAGAUCGCGUCGGCGGAGCGCUCACUAGCGGGAGGUCCCGCACGGGAGAUGCCCAGCGGCACUGCAGCAGGCGACGGCACGCCGGCGCGGACACAGGGGCCUGGGCGACGGCGGCGCACGCGGGAGGCGAGCAGGCGGGGCGGUGGGGCAGGCCGACGGUGAGGAAGCUGCCGGCUGCGCGAGAUCUCGCAUGGGGGCAGAACGGGGCGGCGCACCGGCGAGGCAGCGGCCAUGGCCGACGCUGGAGGCGCAAGGCGGCGGGGCUGGCUGUGCAAGGGCCGGCGGCGGCGGCGAGAGGGAGUCCCGAGGCACGGGUGCUGCUGCGGGGUUGGUCACCUCGGGCAGGGACUCCAUGGAAGGGGGCUCGGGCUAGCGGCGGCGGCGGCGGCUCGGGCCCGGGCGGGCUCCAGAUGGGCCUGGGCGGGCCCCGUGCGGGAGGAGAGAGGAGAGAGGCUGGAGGUGGCGGCUGUUGGGGUAGGUGGGGCACGGAAAUCGAGGUGGAGGGGGUUGGCUGGCUAAAAUUAAGGAGGAGGUCUAUUUAUAGACAAAUGGAGGGCUAGGUUACCCGGAAUCGCGUUCCGGAUCCAACCGCGGGGUCGGAUUCGAAAGAUUCCGCACGCGGGAACGGGUACGCGGCCGUGUAGAGGGGAUAUCCGAAGACGAGAGGGAGAACGGGCGGCGCGGCAACGAUUUUUAAAACACCGACAGACGUCCGACGGUAGACCUAAUAUAGUGGCGCUACAGUCGACCGUUCGGGUAGCAGACGGACUCCGAGCAUAACGAAAUUCGAUAGGCGGCCUAGCUAUAACUAAUCACGACCGCAUGCCAAGUUUUACCCCGAUCCGAGAAAGUUUUACGCACACUUUUAAAAACAGGGUUUCGACGAUAGCGCGGGCGCGUGCGUGUGCGGUCGGGCUCAGAACAAACAACGACAAGAACCGGCAACUGACAAUGGAUGCAAGUUUUGAAAAACUGGCGGCAACGGGAUGCCUAUGCAAUGCUGAUGAUGCGCAUGAUGCGAUUAUGAUGCGACAAAUGAAAAUACCCACACGACAAAAACGGAAAGAAAAGGGGAAUCUUCUGGAACGUCGGCACCGGGCUGUCACAACUCUCCUACACUACAAGAGGAUCUCGCCCCGAGAUCCAAGAAUGGAAGGGGAAGAGGAAGAACAAGAGGUAAAAACUUAGUUGCUUCUUUGACAAACGAGUGAAACCAACGAUCCUUGAAAGUUGCAAAGAGAUGAGGAAUGAUAUGAGAAAGAAGCAAGAAUUCACGGAAAAUUUCGGCAGCACUUCGGUAGGAAAAUGGGACAAAAAAUUCGAUAAGAUGGGAAAAAUAGACAAUAUACAUAACAAACAACUAAAUAGAGCAAGGGAACACCAUGAUCUUGAUAGAACAAGAAGCUAGACCCAAAAGAGCAACAUCAGAAAGCCUCCGGAACAAUAGAAUAGGAACUAGCUCAAACGGAAGAAGAGAAUGAAACAAAAGAAUGACAACUAUCAUCACAAUAGAAUUGAAGAGCCUCUGGACAGAGAAUUGACUUAGUAGUUGGAAAACCAACCACUAAAAUAAACAAGGAUAGAUUGGGAGAAACAAGGUAUGAAUAAUUCUUACACCAAGAGGAUACAUUGAGAACUUGGAUUAAUGAUAAGCACCAUGAUAGCAACAAUCCAUAGGAAAAGCUUUAGGUGAAAUCCAAACCAAGAUAGCUCAAUGAAGAAAUCAUGGGUUGAAAUAUCUCAUGAUCAUAGAAUUGGUGGUUUUAAUUAUCUCAUUCUUGAAAGGAAAUCUCUUCGAGGCUCCUACACUACCAAGAAUGCUAUAAUACCACCUCAAAGGAUAAAGGAAGAACAAAUGCACUGGAGAUGCAAGAGAAAGGAUACUUGAGGUACUCGAAGAGGAAUGUUGAAGAACACUUUGAGAAAAAUCACAUCCUUGAAGAAUGACCAUGACGAGCCUCCGUAUGAAAAGGAUGAUGCAAAUAUAAGAAUGAUGAAAGAAUAAGAUUGAAGCCUUCCAAGACUUCAAUGAAGCUUCACAAAGAGAUACUUGACAAAACUUGGAACUCCGGAAAGAAAACAUAAGAACACUUUGAGAACAAGGAAUUGAUAUCAUGAGCCACUCCGGAAGAAGAAUUGAAAUCCCUUGGAAGAAGGAAGAACAAGAAUAAGAAUUAUGUUAUGCUUAUCCUUCAUCAAGUUAAAUUGAUGACAAGCCACGGAUUAAACAUACAACUUAUUCCUCUUGAAAAGAUUAAAGAGAGAUAGAUAAAGCACAAACUAGAAGAAAUGUUGCAAGAAACACCGGUAAGAAUUCACAAUUGAAUGGGAACACCACGAAUUAAUGGAGAUACAUGAGAAUGAAGAGAACAUAAGCCACCUAAGAGAAAACUUGAACAAGGCACCGGAUAAACGAGAGACGAACAAAGAGACAACAAUGGAGAAGAAUUGAGGAUGAAAGCUGAAAGCUGAGAACGAAGAAUCUUCUGAAAUGAUGGCCUUCGGAGGAACGAGAAAUGAACACAACAUUGAAAUGCACCGGGUCGCAAGAAAGGGAUACUCAUGAUUGGGAAUAAUUCAAGAUGAUGGCACAAAGCUGGAAUGAUGAAUCUACUAGAGAAUGGACCAAGAUUUGAGUGAAACACUCCUUCAGAUUUCCAAGCUAAGAAUGAUGACGAGAACAACACCACGAAUAACUGAGACACUCCGGAAUAAAGAAGAAUGCAAGUUUGAGCCAAAUAUGAGAAUUAAUUCAAAUUGAUCUUAAAUAAGGAAUAUGACUGAUGAAAAUCAUACUUACGUCAUAGUUGAGAAGAAUUAAAGAUCUCCGGAAAGAUUAGAAGAGACAUAUAAGAUCCUGGGAAAAACCUGUGGGUUAUGGGGCCACUCGAAGAAACCACCGUUGAAAAGAUUGCUAGAAAGAGGGAUAUUGCACCAUACAAAGAAACUUGAUGAGGUUGAACACCUUGAAAUAAUUGAAAGAAUUGAUAACAAGAAACUACUGGGAUAUCUUCAACGCUCCGGAAAGAAUAGAGAUAAAUGCCAACAGAAGACUAGAUAAGAAUUUCCAACAAAGGAAAGAAUUACAAGGACGAAACAAAUAUGAUGAACACGGACAACUGAAUUAAAUUCACCGGAAAAGAUGACAAGAAUGAACAAAUAUGACACGAAUCUCCUAAGAAUGUUCACCAUGAAUCACCGGUUACGAAAGGAAGAAGAGAUAGCGGAAGCAUCACUGAAAUGAAAUGCAGUUGGAUGAAAUCCAAUCACUGAAGAAAAAGGGCGGGAGGGCGGNNNNNNNNNNNNNNNNNNNNNNNNNNNNNNNNNNNNNNNNNNNNNNNNNNNNNNNNNNNNNNNNNNNNNNNNNNNNNNNNNNNNNNNNNNNNNNNNNNNNNNNNNNNNNNNNNNNNNNNNNNNNNNNNNNNNNNNNNNNNNNNNNNNNNNNNNNNNNNNNNNNNNNNNNNNNNNNNNNNNNNNNNNNNNNNNNNNNNNNNNNNNNNNNNNNNNNNNNNNNNNNNNNNNNNNNNNNNNNNNNNNNNNNNNNNNNNNNNNNNNNNNNNNGGCGGGAGGGCGGGGAAAAACAAAGACAACUUGGGACAGAUGAGAUGAACUCCGGAAUAAAUGAGAGAACGAUCUUGCAAAAAUUGAAGAGGAUUGAAUCCACUUGGAGAGAACCACACCGGUUGGAAAAGAAUUAACAUGACGACUCCGGUUGACAAGAAUUAACAAGAGAAUUGAUUUGAGCCAAAGAAUUAGCAUUCACAUAAAAAUAUGAGAACACCACUAGAAAGAUCUGAAAUCACCACUUGACAUCGAAACAACUGAAUUACCAUAUUCAACAAAACAAAGGGUUGAGGCUUAUGAAACAAGUCAGAACAAACUCAUGAGAAAGAUUUCGUCCGAUAUUUUCGUGGACAGGAAUCCACUAGAUGUCGAACCCCAACCUAACAUCAUGCAUUUGUUGGAAGAAUGUCCUAUAAGUAACUACUUGAAUUCCCACCUAAGAAUUUCCAAAAUAUCUGGUCAUGCAAUCUGGUACACGGAUACAAGGAGUAAUAUCACACAACUCCUACACUAACCCGUCAACUGUAUCACAUCCGUCAACACACAACCAGAAUCUCGGACCUUCAUCUACAACAGACCCUCGUGAUCACAACGAUACAAAGUAUGGUAGUACUCCCGAACAAUCUGCACCAGUACUGGGGACAUCGGGGUUAUCUCGCCACUACUAGUAUUGAAGCAAUUACGAACAUCCUUCGUUCUGAGAUACUAAGAAAUCUGAAUGAUAACGAUGUGCUCGAGAAUCCCCUGGAGCUCAACUCCCCUGAAACUUAAAGCAGAUAGGAGGCACCAAGACAGAACUCCGUCACAUCGGCAUCAUAUAGAUUCCAAAAAUAUCUGCGUGAUCCUAAAAAAAUUGAGUGAGAAGAGGGGUAGAAUUAAAUUAUUACGUCAAGAUUCCUCACCAGAGCAUAGAAGAGGAGAAAAAAGAAUCCUACUCUCCGAUAUAUAACUAGACUCAAAGUAGUUUUUCACUACACUCGACUCGGCCAAGUUCGAUCAAUCAAGGGGGCUCCUAGGUCGGUACUGCUCUCAUACCAACUUGUCAUGCCCAAGAUGUGACCCUAUCCUCAAUUUGGCACGAGGGCCUCGUCAGGGAUAGAAGCACAUCUCGUCGUGUCGCAAGAAUGGAUAUCGUUACAAGUACAUGUACUGAAAAGAAGAGAUAUAUAUAUAUAUAGAAUUGGCUUACACUCGCCACAAGCUACAUUAGAGUCACAUCAGUACAUUACAUAAUCAUCAAGAGUAAGAGCAGGGUCCGACUACGGACGAAAACAAACGAGAAAAAUAAGAACGACGUCCAUCCUUGCUAUCCCAGGCUGGAUCGAUGAAGAAGAAGAAGAAGAAGCAACUCCAAAUGAACAAUCAACGCGCUCGCGUCAAGUAACCUUUACCUGCACCUACAACUGGUGUUGUAGUAAUCUGUGAGCCACAGGGGACUCGGCAAUCUCAUUUCCAAAGGUAUCAAGACUAGCAAAGCUUAAUGCGUGAGACAUGGUUAAGUGGUGAGGUUGCAGCAGCGGCUAAGCAUAUAUAUAUUGUGGCUAACUUACGAGUACAAGUAAUAAGAGGCGCGAAGAUCUACGCAUAACGGACGUGAACUACUGAUGAUCAAAUGAAUGAUCCUGAACACCUACCUACGUCACACAUAACCCCACCGUGUCCUCGAUCGGAGAAGGAACUCACGAAAUAGACAGUCAUGGUUACACACACAGUUGGCAUAUCUUAAUUAAGUUAACUUCAAGUUAUCUAGAACCAGUGUUAAACAAAGCUUCCACGUUGCCACAUAACCGCAGGCACGGCUUUCCGAAAAGAUUUAACCCUGCAGGGGUGCUCCAACUAGUCCAUCACAAAUUACCACAAGCCGCAUAGAAAUCCUCAAUCACGAAGCUCGCGAUCUCGUCGGAUUCCCUAGUGGAAAACCUCAACUCUGAGAUUACCCAAAAGCAUCUCCGGAAUCCCAAUGCACAAGAUAUCUCGUCAAAGUUAAAACUAAUCCAGCAAGGUCACCCGGUGUGUCGACGAACCCGAUAGGAGCCGCGUAUGUCGUUCUCAGGACACAACGUCUAUGCAUAGUGGACGGUAGCCAGACCUCGAGUUGCCCCGUGGUGACACCGCCGACUGCUAGGUGGGUGGACCAACACUCAUGCGGAGCACUGGCCCGGGGGUUGAUUAAAUUUCCUCGGGUUAAUUACUCCCUAUGUAGUUCAUUAGUUAUUAGGCAAAUGUAGUACCAAAGUUGGGCCCUGCCAGACCAGCUUUAUUCUAAAAUGAAUUAUCAAGGGGGUCCCCAUAACAACCCCGAUCGUGUUAGGAGCUCUCAUUUAUGGAACAUAACACCGGUAGCCGGAAACUAAGGGGGCAAAGGUGGAACGAAACACCAGGCUAGAAAGNNNNNNNNNNNNNNNNNNNNNNNNNNNNNNNNNNNNNNNNNNNNNNNNNNNNNNNNNNNNNNNNNNNNNNNNNNNNNNNNNNNNNNNNNNNNNNNNNNNNNNNNNNNNNNNNNNNNNNNNNNNNNNNNNNNNNNNNNNNNNNNNNNNNNNNNNNNNNNNNNNNNNNNNNNNNNNNNNNNNNNNNNNNNNNNNNNNNNNNNNNNNNNNNNNNNNNNNNNNNNNNNNNNNNNNNNNNNNNNNNNNNNNNNNNNNNNNNNNNNNNNNNNNNNNNNNNNNNNNNNNNNNNNNNNNNNNNNNNNNNNNNNNNNNNNNNNNNNNNNNNNNNNNNNNNNNNNNNNNNNNNNNNNNNNNNNNNNNNNNNNNNNNNNNNNNNNNNNNNNNNNNNNNNNNNNNNNNNNNNNNNNNNNNNNNNNNNNNNNNNCUAGGUCGAUCAGGUUGAUAUUAUUGAGAGGUUGAUAUUUAACAUGUGGUAGGCAACGAGACAUAACGACAGAAACGAUAAAACUAGCAUGUCAAUGAUAGUAAUGGUAUCUGGGGAAAUGGUCAUCUUGCUUGAGAUCCCGCUUGGAAGAAGAAUACCUCCGUGAAGCAGACGAACCGACGUAGUCGAACGGGUCCUCACAAUCCGGCACGUUGCGGAACUCUAUCGAGAUGAAGCAAACCGGAAACACAAAUCAACACCCGGAAUUUACCACACGAUGCACAACACAAAUGAUGCAUGAGCAGCUGAAAACAUGCAAGUCACGGCAUGACAAAUCACACACUCAAACACUACACAUUAAGUGAAGUUCAAUAUGCAACGAGUUGCAUAUUGACGAAACUCCACGUUAAUUUAUUUAGCUCUAUCCCGAUUAGGUACACGGCAAUAUUAAAUGUGGUUAAACAUGGCAAGAGGUGAAGCGUAAUUAAACUACUUAUCUAGGCAUUUUAAAUGAGGUUGGAAAUGACAUAUAGCACCUCCGAGACGACCUCACAUGUUAAUUUACGAUUCUGUCCAGAUGUGAACUAACACAUUUAAAUAGUUGUUAAACAGCAAAAUAAAUAGGUUCACGUGAAUCUACGCGUCAUUUCAAGCAAUCUACACAUAAAGAACAUCUCCAACGGAGCUACGGGUCAAAAGUUACAAGCACCGCAAGAUAUGAUGGCAUGAAUGCAAUAUGUGUGCAACGACGGCUAUGAGCACUUCAAAACAUACAACCAGCAAGAGAAAAUGAAACUACACGAUAUUCUAAGCAAGUUUCAUGUAGGACACGAUCAAAUCGGAGCUACGGUUCAACAACUACGAGCAAAACAAGAACUGACUACAAUCUGCCAAGAUCAGCCACAUAGCAUUUUCUACACCCCACAACUACGGGCUACACAACUCCGAUAAACUCAAGCAAGGCAUGACACGAAAUAGGUCAAGAAGCACUACUACAAACAACUAACAACAACUAGCAUGGCAUCAUGGAUCACUAGGAAAAGAAGACACAAAAUGGCAUCUCACACGCUAUUUCAGACUUAGUGAAAAUUACACCUCAUGAAAAUGCAGUUUUCGAUCUGAAGCAAUAUUGACAGCAGCAAAACCUAUAGCUACAGGACUCCAAAUGGCAUGAAAAUUCGCAGCAUGCUAGAGAAACACAAGGGCUACAACUAACUCCAUUGGACCAACCUCAAAAGAGCUACAGAUCACAAGAUAGAAGCAAAACAAAACAGCAACAAAAUAAUAACUGAUUCUAGACUUAGAAAUAUUUCANGCUAGUCUAAACAUCAAAUAUCAACUCUCUAGUUGACAACUCCGUCAAACGAAGCACGGAAUAAAUCCUAUGAAUUAAACAAAAGGACAUCACGGCAAAAUAUUGCGCGAACUAACUUGCUCAAAAGCUAAAACAAAUUGCACAGAAAAAUCACAUGGAUUUUUCUACCCCGAAAACAUAUAAAAUAUGUGGGGUUGCACAACAAAAUAUUGCCACACGUAAAUGCGAGAUAUAACCCUAAACAUGGAAAAUAAUCUAGCGGCAAAUCCCUACACGCAAAAAUACCAACGACUACUCUAAACUACGUGGCAAAGGUGUCCCUAGAGCAUGGAAAUUUUAUCUAAGGCAUUCGAGCAAUCCGGACUUGCGCGAAAAAUAAAUACGGGCACUAUCAUAUCUAGACAGCAUGUAAACCUAGGCAUAUGGCGGCUCAAACUACGUCAAACAAUUAUGCAUGUUGCAAAAACGGAUUCUAAGCGAAAUUCUACGCCAAGACCAUAUACAAUAUGCCUCGAUUUGACUUACGGAUAAUAAUCUACGGACGAUCUAAUAUUCAUCUAUUUUUCUGGAAUUUAUUAAUUCCGAGAAUAACCUAAUAUACUAAUGGGCCUAACGGGGCCCAAGAUAAAUUAACACCGCAUUGUGCAAAAAAAAAGAGGGCUCGGGUGUUGGCUCACUUUGGGCCGGCCCGUUCGCUGGAGAGGGAGGCCGUCUCGGCUCCUGGAGCAGUCAAGGCCCACGCGGGGCGAGGGCGCUGCUGGCCUGGAUCGGCAGAGGGGCGACUGGGCCGGCUGCAGCAGCCCACGGGGUCGGCACGGUGAACCGCCUCUCCCCCGAUCUGGUGCUCGCUCCAGAUCGCGUCGGCGGAGCGCUCACUAGCGGGAGGUCCCGCGCGGGAGAUGCCCAGCGGCACUGCAGCAGGCGGCGGCACUGCAGCAGGCGGCGGCACGCAGGCGCGGACACGGGGGACUAGGCGACGGCGGCGCACGCGGGGCGGCGGGGCAGGCCGGCGGUGAGGAAGCUGCCGGCUGCGCGAGAUCUCGCGUGGGGGCAGAACGGGGCGGCGCACCGGCGAGGCAGCGGCCGUGGCCGACGCUGAAGGCGCAAGGCGGCGGGGCUGGCUGUGCAAGAGCCGGCGGCAGCGGCGCGAGGGAGUGCCGAGGCACGGGUGCUGCUGCGGGGUUGGUCACCUCGGGCAGGGACUCCAUGGAAGGGAGCUCGGGCUAGCGGCGGCGGCGGCUCGGGCCCGGGUGGGCUCCAGAUGGGCCUAGGCGGGCCCUGUGUGGGAGGAGAGAGGAGAGAGGCUGGAGGUGGCGGUUGUUGGGGUGGGUGGGGCGCGGAAAUCGAGGUGGAGGGGGUUGGCUGGCUAAAAUUAAGGAGGAGGUCUAUUUAUAGACAAAUGGGGGGCUAGGUUACCCGGAAUCGCGUUCUGGAUCCAACCGCGGGGUCGGAUUCGAACGAUUCCGCACGCGGGAAUGGGUACACGGCCUGUAGAGGGGAUAUCCGGAGACGAGAGGGAGAACGGGCGGCGCGGCAACGAUUUUUAAAACACCGACAGACGUCCGACGGUAGACCUAAUACGGUGCCGCUACAGUCGACCGUUCGGGUACCAGACGGACUCCGAGCACGACGAAAUUCGAUAGGCGGCCUAGCUAUAACUAAUCACGACCGCAUGCCAAGUUUCACCCCGAUCCGAGAAAGUUUUACGCACACUUUUAAAAUAGGCUUUCGAAGAUGGCGCGGGCGCGUGCGAGUGCGGUCGGGCUCAGAACAAACAACGACGAGAACCGACAACUGACAACGGAUGCAAGUUUUGAAAAACUGGCGGCAACGGGAUGCCGAUGCAAUGUUGAUGAUGCGCAUGAUGCGAUGAUGAUGCGACAAAUGAAAAUGCCCACACGACGAAAACGGAAAGAAAAGGGGAAUCUUCUGGAACGUCGGCACCGGGCUGUCACAGACACUCUCUCAUUGGCUGAUGGGCUUGGCAGGUCAACCUUGUUGUCAUCAUCGAGCUUAAUCACCUUAGUUGGAGCUGCAAUCGCACGGAUGUUAAAUGCUAAAAUUGCAUAUCACUUGAAAUUAGUUUGGGACUGAGUUAACCAAUACCUUUGGAAUAUUCAGCAUCUCCUUCCGCUUGACACUUCCCCACAACCUUCGCAUUGAAUGAGGUUGUCAAAGUAUCGAAAAGGUAGUCACAGAGUCGCUUGGCUGAUAGGAUAUGAGAAUUCAUUAAAUGAAGAGAAUUAGUCUUGAUACUUAAUUCCAUGCCACCAGCACAGACAACUUGAUCUUUGACAGAGACGCGGCCUUCCGGGGCUUGGUGGAGAUGAUCUUGGGUUGUUUGGCCACCUUCUCACACGUCCGUGCGGACUUACAUCAACCACGCUUCGAGCUAUGCGUGCCAGGGACCGACGUAGUUGUCUUAGGGCCACUCGCUCCCUUGGCGCCGCCAGCAUGGGCACUCGGAUAGUGGUGGCUCUUGGAGCGGUUCUCUCAUGGGAUGUUCAACGACAGAGAAGACCCUGCCUCCUCCCUGUCCUGUGUGUCCUCCUCGUCGCUUUCCUCAUUGCUGUUGGGGAACGUUGCAUGGGAAACAAAAAAUUUCUUACGCGCACGAAGACCUAUCAUGGUGAUGUCCAUCUACGAGAGGGGAUAUUCGAUCUACGUACCCUUGUAGACCGCACAGCAUAAGCGUUAGUGAACGCGGUUGAUGUAGUGGAACGUCCUCACGUCCCUCGAUCCGCCCCACGAACCGUUCCGCGAUCAGUCCCACGAUCUAGUGCCGAACGGACGACACCUCCGCGUUCAGCACACGUACAGCUCGACGAUGAUCUCGGCCUUCUUGAUCCAGCAAGAGAGAUGGAGAGGUAGAUGAGUUCUCCGGCAGCGUGACGGCGCUCCGGAGGUUGGUGAUGAUCUUAUCUCAGCAAGGCUCCGCCUGAGCUCCGCAGAAACGCGAUCUAGAGGUAAAACCGUGGAGAUAUGUGGUCGGGCUGCCGUGGCAAAAGUUGUCUCAAAUCAGCCCUAAAACCUCCGUAUAUAUAGGGGGAAGAGGGGGAGCCUUGCCUUGGGGUCCAAGGACCCCCAAGGGGUUCGGCCGAGCCAAGGGGGGCAACCCUCGCCUUCCAAACCGAGUCCAACUAGGUUUGCAAGGAGGAGUCCUUCCCCCUUUUCCCACCUCCUCUUUUUUUUCUUUUCUCUUUGAUUUUCUUCCUAUGGCGCAUAGGGCCUUCUUGGGCUGUCCCACCANNNNNNNNNNNNNNNNNNNNNNNNNNNNNNNNNNNNNNNNNNNNNNNNNNNNNNNNNNNNNNNNNNNNNNNNNNNNNNNNNNNNNNNNNNNNNNNNNNNNNAAGCCGAGGGCGUCACAAAGGGGAGAGCUCUUCCCCUCUCGGUUCCAGACCAGAAACACCCAUGACCCGUGACCAGAUGUCUGACUUUAUUCCAGGGCCAUGAAGACCUUCAUCCCGGCUCCUCUACUUGGUGUGUACCCGAUAAUAGGUUUACGACCUGCUGAACUGUAUUCCCCUUGAAGAAGACCCGUGGCAACACGAAAUGGUAAGGUGGCACACUCACAAGACUCGAUCUACGGUCGACUCAGGAAGUUUAUGUUUUUCUGCAAGGGUUAGCACCACACAAAUUGCUGAAAUAGGGUUACCACCCUCACGCCUCGUUAUUCCCUCAUUGAUCACUCUCGUCCAAUGAGAUAUCAGUUCCAUGGUUACACAUGUAUCGCGAAAACUUUCCUCCAAGGUUGUCCAGACUAGCAUGGCAUACGUGGCAUGAGGUAGUACCCACUAACCAUCUUCAUCACAUGUAUUCAACGACAAGCAAAAAUACCCAUCACAUGCACUCAUGCAAGGUAUGAUCUUAUAUGGCAGUUUUUAUCAACAUAACAAAAUUUAUGCAUUCAAUGCACCACAAAAAGCAUCAUACAAAUUAAUACAAAUCAGAGAUCAAGAUGCUUGCCUUUGGAGUGAGGAAGGGUGGUGUGCACCCCAAAAAUCUUGAAGGAGUUUGCUUCCCUCCAAAUUCCUAUUUUGAAAAUAUUCGAUUUAAUACACAAUUCCAAAACAUGACAUAAAAGUUGUUUCGAAAUUUUUGAAAUAAAUAUUAAAAUAAACUAGAUGAAAUUUUAGAGAGGUAGGUAAAAUAAUCAAUUCAUUUGGAGUUUUAUAUUAAAUGUUGUAGCGAGUCAAAGUUCUUGUCAAAUUUAUUUUUAAACGAACCAGAAAAGAAAAUGGUUUGGGGGUGAAUACGCCUUCCAGAAACUGAAAACGUAUCCAUGCGAAGGCGCUUACGCGUGAGGAAGACGCACCCGCAGGACAGCGCCACGAGGGCGACGACUCUCUCACCGACAGGUGGGGACCACCUCUCGGGUUCAUCCCGUUCCUCCCACGCUGUGGCCAGAGGCCGAUUCCGUCAAAGACUGCCGAUGCUAGCGAGCGUCAUCCAUGGAGCUCGAUACACCGACGUGCUCAGGGGAAUGGACCACAUCUCAGGGAGCUGGAGGGGGUCACUAGGAGGCUUGGAGCUGAGCAGGGCUUCGGUCUUGGAGGACGACGGUGUCAAGAGGAAGAGGAACUUCGUCCCCGGUGGUUCCCGAGCUAAAAUUGGAGCGAGGAUGGGUUCCAGGGAGCUUGGGGAGGCUAGGAAAGGCUAAGGGGAGACGACUGGGGCUCGGGGCUGCCAGAUUUUGCCGGAGGCUUCCAGUGGCGCUACGGACAGAGGCGAACGAGGAGAGCGGCUCCGACCGAAUUGAGGCGAGGGGGAGGGAGUUGUGGGUCUAGGGAGGCUGCUGGAUACUCAAGGGGGCUCGGGGCAUCCUUUUAUAGCCGGCCCGAGGCGGUUCCCACGGCGGCUCGGGAUGAGGACGGCGGCGACAAGUUCUGGUGAUGCACAUGGGCGGCAGGAGCAGACUAGCGGUGCGGGCAGCACGAGGACGAGGGCAGCGGUGGUCCAAGGGGGCAUUUGGUGCGUGGGGAAGGCUCGGGCGGCGCCGACCACUACAACGGCAGAGCUGACUCCGGCUAGCCGUAAUGGCUGCCGCACUGCUGUGGCUCUGAGUGGCACAAGGCGUUUAGACUAUUGGUCGGGCUUGGCAUGGUGUGGCUUUGGUUCUACGGGCUGGUGAAAGGGCAAGGGCAGGGAUGCGACGGCUCGGGCACGCUGCCUGCAAAACAGCCGCUCUGGGCACGCUGAGGGCACGCCCACGAGGCGCUCGACAAAAUGUCAGCAUACUCAAAGGGGUCCAAUGCUUAUGCAACUACACAGGAGUAGGCUAUGGUUUAGGGAAAAGCUAUUGGACAAGGUUUUAGGGCCAGGGGAGCAACUCAACCAUGCAAAGAAAAACUAUGCCAGAUCUGGACAUGCACUCUAGGUGUUUGUUGAAAUGCCAGAGGCAUCUAAAAGAAUUUUCUGGCGUCCAAACUUUCAGUGAUGUCUCUUUAGACACUAAAAGAGUGGUGUGGUUAGUUUGGCAAAAAGCAAAACUUGUUAAUGCAAUUUUUUUUGAGAAAACAUUUUUUGUCAGCAAGUUGAGGCGGUUAAAUCAUGCAUUUAAAAUAAUCCAAUGGUCUCAACUCAUGGACUUAAGGGUUUGGUAGGGUGAACUGCAAGCAGUAAAAAUCCCAAGGGCGUUGGGGCAAUUAAAAAUGGGGUUGUAGUUCAAAACAUCAAACUAGACCAGAAUAUAAAAGGGCUUGUUUGGCUAAAAAAUUCAAAACACAUAAUUGGGUUUUUAUAUAAAAGCUAGUCUCAUGCAUCCCUUGAUAGCUCCAAAUUUUUGUGGAAUUUUUAAAUGUGGUUAUGAAAGGGUUGCAGUGUAAAAGAGGUCCUUCGAGGAGUUAAAAAGCCAUUAUUGAACAAGUGAAACUUGGCAAAAUAUUUAUGAAAAUAUCGCCAUUGAAUUUGUCAAAAGAGAAGACAUGCUUUGAUGCAAGCACUCAAGUCCCAUCAUAAUUUUUAAAAACUUCUACUUGGAGGAGAAAAUUUAUAAUUUAAGAAAAGGAGUGGGUUCUCAAAUCAACAAAAAUCGAGAAAUUUAAAAUUAAACAAACAUGGCCAAAUUUUAAUAUAUCCCCAUUAAUUUAAAUAAAGAAUUAAAAUGACCUUAAUCAAUGACUCUAGCACACAAUGAUCUCCAAAAUGCUACUUAAAAGAAAACGUUUUUGGGAAGAGGCUUUGAAAAGAGCCAUGAAGCAGUUU
rnacentral:lncRNA from 1 species